GAUGGAGAAGGAGAGGGGCUUGGACUAACUACUGGAUCUUCUAUUUCGAGGGCAUUGAUCUUGAUUUUAAUCUUUUGGCCGGCUUUGCAGUGACCAGGUUCACCGCAAAUAACAUAGUAGGUGCCGGGUAUAUCAAAAGUUAAGGCGGUAAAGGUACCGUAAUGAGAUAGAGGAAGUGAUGGAAUGCAAUAGUUAUAAUCUGCUUGAGUGACUAUCAUCACAAAAUCAUAUUCAUGUUUGUAAUUAAAUAUGAACUCGUCGCCCACAUAAAAUUCUUUCGAUGAAGCCCACUCGUUGUAAUCAACCGCGCCACUGUCAGUCCACCCUUACAAAUCGUCACCAACCGUAUAAAUGGUAGCAGAACAAACACCAAAGAAAAUCAUCAUGAUGAUGAAACUCACGGCAACAGUGUUUCUAGAGCCAUGACUAAAACAGUAAACGAUAAACAAGCAAUUAGGAAAGCAGAAAGCAAAGAGAAUGAAUGAAUGAAAUUUAGAUAAAAGGCAAUAAUGCGUGAGCAUGCGUAUAUAUACAUAGAUAGAUAGAUAUAGUUAGUGUCCCAAAUGGAAAAUGUUUCCCAAAUCCAGUUGGAAAACGGUCUAUAAAAUCAGACGAGUAGUAGGAAUUCUAUUUAGGAAUAAUAUUGCCUAAGCUUAAUUAAUAAUCGAAUUCCAAUUUUCUCCCGUUUUGUCGGCUGGUUUUGCUUCCAACUUCUGCUUGUUUCCAUGUAUGAUGAAACAUUUUAUUAUAUAAAUCACAAUGAAGAAGUGAGAAUCGAACUUGGGCAUUUGGGUUGCAUGAUGCAAAUUUAGUGCAUAAAAAGAUUCAAAUUUCUCAUUAGCAUUUGAGAAAAAGAAGAGGAAUUUAUCCAACCUGUUUGUACUAAUUGUAGAAAAAGACUUAAUAACUUGUUCAAAUUUAUUAGACAAUAUUUUUGUUUUUUUGAAAAAACGAUAUUAUCUACAUUAAGGGGGUGUGGAAGUGGGCUAAGCCUUACAAUAUGCUAGCAAUAAUGUGGUUCAAACUCACUACCACUCCCAAUACCUAGUCUAUACGCCCAGUGAGCACUUCAGUAUUUGCCCACAAUAUAAAUAGGCAUGUAGAAAACGGGAGUGAGACGUAGGCGCUUUCAUUAGGGUUUUUUUUUUUUUUGGUUUUGUUUUCUUCUCUUGUCCUUAUUAUUAAAUAUAGUUAUUAGAUGAGUUUUAGUUGAAAUUCAAAAUUUUGAAGUCAUUUUCAUUAGUUUUUAUGUUAUUUUUUAACUGUAUGUAACUGUUUGUGUUUGAGCCAUAAUUAAACAAGUUGGGCCUGGCGAGGGUCCAACGUCCUUUUUAACUCAUACUUCUUAUUUUGGGUAUUUAGUUUAGCAAAAGUGAACAAUGGCUGACCCAAGAUUCAACAGUACCUUUUGACGUGGCAUGUUUGGGCGGCAAGCUCACCCUCGUUCACAUAGAAAAAAAGUUAAGAGUCAAGUUUCUCAGAGAAAAGUGCUUCAAGAUCUGUAAAUUCGAGAGGAUCAAAGCUCGAGUAUCCAAGUAAUGGCUCAUCCUUUGAAGAACUUCACAUCUCCAACUUGGAUGAAAGAGAAUGAACCGAGUUAGGAAAUCUUAAUUCUAAAAGAAGAAAGCUUCUAUAAAGGGCAGCAGAAGGAUUAGAGAAAAAGACAUUGAUCAACUCAAGCCAAAAUGACUUCUAAAAGCUCUGCAGCUUACUUUUCAAUUAUUCCUUUUUUAUCUCAAACAUUCAUUUGUAUCUAUACCUCUACUACUUUCCUUUUGUAGUAUCGAUUCCCUUUGUAGAACCCCUUCAAUAGCACAUUACCCGCAUUACACGAACUUGCCCGACAGGCUUGGAAACUUGCCCAAAUGGGUUGAAAACUUGCCCGAUGGCUUGUAUUUAUCAUUUAUUUUCAUGUUAUUGUCAUUAUGCUUUGUUUAUUACUCAUGUUAUAAAUGUUUCUUGAACAUUUACUAGUAUAUUCCUUUGUUUAUGUAUUGUGCUUUAUUUUUCUGCAUCUUCCCUUUACUCAAAGAUUGCUGACUGGUUCAAAGUCUCCUCUGAUCAGUUUGUGAUCCUUGUUCUUUGGUAUUUAACAUGAGAAAAUAAUAAAGUCCUUAUUUUCAAGGCAUACAAAAGAAGGCCAGUCUCUUGUGGCACGAGCAAAUGGCUUAUUAACAAUCUAAAACAAACAACUUAUUGGUCUUGGCCAGCAAUGGCACGACUGGGUAAAAUCACUAUUUUUACAAAAGAACCUAUGAGCCUACUCAAGGCUUGACUAAGGCACCUUGGGUUAACAAGAGUUCACCACUUGCAUUCUGGGGGAGGUUGUGUGAUAAUCCUGCAUCCUUAAUUCCGUUUUGGUCAACAGUUUUUUAAUCCGAAGUUCCAAAUCCUUAUUUUUCACUUGCUUGGCAUCAACUGUAACAAUGGAUAUUUAACCGAUUGUAAGAGUCAACCCCCUGUUAUUAUCGACGUCCUAUGACAUUUUAUACUCUGCUCCCACACCAACAUUAAAAAGCUGUCUCAUUCCCAUUUUCUUCGUACUUGGAAGCAAAACAUUGGUUCUUAAUUUCUGUUCUUACCUAACUUCUUGUGUUACUCCAAGUCCACGCGAAUGGCUCUAUCUAGACUUCCUCCAAAAGAGAAGCCAGGUCAAAGUUAAGAUGGUGUCCAGUCUUGUCAAGUUGGUGGUGAGAGUAGCUUCGAAAGUAGGGAGAGGGUUGAGCCGCCGUAUUAAGGUGACGAUACAGGUUGUGUAGCCGGAUAGCAAUCAAAUUAAUCACGUACAGUUCAUACGAGCGUUGAUGUUUUUAGCCUCAUAAUGUUAUAGAAGUGUACUGCAGUACUAUGGGUGUGUUUGUUUACCUUCAUUAAGUUUCAUUAGACUAGACUACACUAAAACUUAGUGAAAUCUUUUGUUUGUUGUCAGAAGGGAUUAGGUUUAAUGAGAUUAGCUUUCACUUGCACGGACUACAUGCCUCGCUAGCUGGCCUUAGCGAGUCCUCUCGAAACCUAUGGGAUUGCUAAGACUGUGCUCUCUCUCGUCCUUAUGCGCUCGCCUCCUCUCUCUUGGCGUCAUCUGAUCGACUCCUCUAUCACAUCCGCUUUUGCUUGACCCCUCUGGUGUCAGCCACCACUCUCCGCCGUGUUGUCGUCUGAUUGACUCCUUUCUUGCGUCCUUAUCUGCUUGACCCCUUCGGCCUCAGCCACCACUCCCCGCCGUGUCGGCUGAUCGACUCCUCUCGCGUGCUCAUCCUGCUCGACGACCUUGCCAGACCAUCCCACCGACCACUGAAACUCAAGUCACAGUCUUGCAGAUAAUUGUUGAUGUUUACGAAAUCAUAGAUUUUGUAUUUCACAGAUGUGAAAGUCCCCAAUUUUUUAUUCUCUUGCCGCUUGAUUUCGGUUUUGCUCUUUGGUACUUGCUCUAACCCUCACAAGAUUUACAAUUUCUGCUAUUGGUGAUUGGAAUUUGUGCUGUUGUCUUGGAAAUCGGUUUUUUUUUUUUGAACCAAUUUAUCUGUGAAUUUGGUGUUAUGAUUUGUGUAAAUUGCUGCUAUUGUGUUGUGGGCGUUUAGCAAUUUCUGCAAUUUUUUUUAGCAAAAUGGGUAUAUUUCGGUUUCCAAUUUUUGCAAUUUCAUUUACGAUUACUGUUAGCUUGACAUUUCUUCACAUCAUCCAGUUUGCUUCUGUUUUGUAUCCAAUUCAUUAUUCGGAUAUGUUUAUGAGACCAAAAUUCGGAUUAUUUUUUUCAUUAUCCUGUCUCUUAGUCCGACACUGCACCAAACGCUUUACUAAUUUAGUCCAGCAGUCUAAUUUAAGCUAGUACAGCUUAGUCGCUAAAGCUAGUCCAGUCCGAGAUAGUCCGGUACAACAAAAUAUGUAUUAGUAGAGCACAUGCAGGCACUUAAAAAUGCAUGAGAAAGUUUGUAAUACGGUGUGCUUUUGGUUUUAUGUAUUGAUCCUACCAUAAGGUCAUAACCAAAAGUUCGUUUUCUUCUCACUCUUUAUAUUCUUAUGGAGGAUGGAGAGUCCUACUCUUGUGGGCGAUGAACUCUUUGUUGUUCUGCAUGGCUUUUAGAGUACAACGGUAUUUCACGAAUAUGAAUUUCGAGCUAUCUGUUAUCCGGGUUCCAAAUUCAACCGUUCUUUUUGGAAUCAUUCAAGUAUGCAACAGAUAUACCUAAUGUAUCUGUUUCAGUUUAUCAAACUGUGGAUAUAGUCUUAAGGGGAUGACUCGUUGAAGAAUGUAUAGUCUCGCGACGGAAAUCUUACAAAAUAAAAUACAAUUUAUGCUUUCGACCAACGAAACAAAAAACAAUUUAUGCUGAGUACUGGUUCCUCUACUAAUUGAGUGGAGACAUUACGUAUAAAACUCCACACCCUGUUUACAUAUUUUUACCUGAGUUUUUCUUUGUCAUUUAUUCGUUUUUUAUUUUCACAAGUUUCUGCAAUUUUAAGUACAGUUGUAAACUGAGCAAAUAUAUGGGCAACAAGGUUGAUCGAGUCGUGCAAAUUUGAAGCCCUUUUUAUUUUAUUUUAUUUAUUUAUUUAUCCUAGACAGUAUCUGUGACCACAAAGAAUGACAAUUCUUUGCAGUUGAAGCCGACAGACCGUUCAUUUUAUCAGAAGGGUUAAAAACUCAAAUAUUUUUUCUGUUAUCAAGAAGUGUGGUGUUGAUAUUAGGAAGAAUCUGUAUGGAAAUAUUGUCCUCAGUGGAGGCUGCACUGUGUUAUGAUGGGACAUGGGCAUGGAGGCAAGCAAAUUAUGAUUAAUAUUUAUUUUUUUCGUUACUGAUUUGGUUUGGUUGAAAUAAAAAAAGAAAAACUAAUGAAAAGGACUUGAAAACUUUGAGUUUUAACGAUAAUGACAAAAUAAAGGGUAAAAUGAAUAGUAACAUAUUUGACUUUUUAGUGAAAAAAAUGUGGUUUUUCGUUAAAGUGAACAGUACCGGGAGUUUUUCGUUAAAGUUCCCAAUAAAAAAUCAUUUUCACUACUCUUUUUGUUGUUGUAUAUGCCUCAUCUUAUAGCUUAUCUCAUAAUAAAAAUCAAAUCGAUAUAUAUAUACAUAUAUAUAUAUAUAUAUAUAUAUAUAUAUAUAUAUAUAUGUAUUCUGAAUAAUCUUUUCAUAUAUGUAAGUAGAAACAUAGUGUGUAUUAAAAACACAAGUAAAACUAAUGAAAGUACAAAUUCAUUUACAAUCAAUCCGAAUUAAAUAAAGAAUACAUUUUGUUGAUGCACAAAAUCCGGCAGAAUGCACAAAAUCCGGCGGAUCUUGGACCAACGUAAAUCCGACCGUGAAUUAUUCAAAUUUACAAGAACACAAAUAUAUAUCGUGGUUCACCUCAAGUUGGGCUACGUCCAUACUGAUGUCGAUAAGUGUUGAUGAAGGUUACAGUAUGCAUGGAGGCUAUACAGGCUUAGUAUUUGCUCUUUGUAUUAUUCUUUGCCUCUCUGUCUGUUUCCUCUUUGUUUCCCCCCUUAGUGAAGGUGAGGAGAAUCCCUUUUAUAGAAUAAGGGUUUCCUCCUCUUACAUAAAUCAUGGGCUCAUUCCUGAAGCCCAAAUAUCGAGGCCUAAUAUCUGGUACAACAGGAGUCCCCCAAGUCUUCAGUCAAGAGAGUCCUUUGGCUGGAGACUUCAAAUUCAAUCCAUGUGUGGGCCGAAGUGACUAGAUGUCGUUCAGAACUAGUACUCGACAUGAGACGGUGCUUAACGUGAAGCAAUACUCAACCAGAGGUAGCACACGUUGCGAGGCUGCUCGGCUAAAGGCGAUGCUCGCGACGAGACGGUUGCUCGGCUGGAGGCGGUGCUCGUUGCGAGGCGGCUCGGCUUUUGGCGUUCUUCUCUGUGAGUAUGCAUUCGACGUCAGCGUGUGCUCAUUAUGAGUUGAUUCUUGACAUGACUCGGGUUUGCUUGUCGGGUUCGCAUAUUGGGUCUAUGUGUCGGGUUCGCGGAUUGGGUCCACAAGUUGGAUCUUUGAGUCGGGGCCAUAUGUAGGGUUAUCGAGUCGGGGCCAUUUGUAAGGUCAUCGAGUUGGGUCCAUAAGUUGGGUCCGUGAGUUGAGGUUCGAGCUCAAGGGUGUCCAAUUUCGUAGGUGCCCAAACGAGUGGUUAUCUAAGUUUGUGGGUGUUCAGGCACAUAUGUGUCCAAAUAAGCGAGUGUCCGAGCAAGUGGGUGUCUAGUUAGACAAGAGAUCACCGUUCAGACUAAAUCUUUGUCACCAUAAGCAUGUGGCUCGGUGAUCCAUAGGCUGAUCCAUAGUGUUGACCACCAUAAUUUGGGUCCUUGGUUAAUCAAUUAAUUGUAUGAGUAUCGUAUACAAGUAAUCAAUCAUUAAAGUGUGCAUAUUGCGGGUAAUGUCACACAUAGAUCAUAUAAACAUACAAUAAUGUAGUAUGCCUAGUGAAAUGUGUAUGUGACAAUAUAAUUUAAUGAAAUAGGAGGUGGCCGACAAUAUCAAAGGGUAAUAAUACUAAAGUUAUGAUAGGAAUGAUUAUGGUUUGUGAUGUGACCCGGCAUAAUAAACACACAUCAGUAGUCAUGUAGCUUUAAUAUAAUGACAAUGGGGACGCAUUAUAUAUAUAUAUAUAUAUAUAUUUUGUCAGGUGCCGACUGUAUACACACAGAUCAUGAAAAUAAAUAAUAUAUUCCUAACUGUGCACUAAAAUAUAAGUGUGAUAGAAAUGACGUGGUCUCUUUUUAAAGAAUAUGCACACUAUAAAGCAAACUACUGGUGGCAUAUGCACACUGUAAAGCAAACCAAACCAACAGGGACGCACUAUUAAGUGUGAUAGAAAUGAUGUGGUCUCAUUUUAAAGAAUAUGCAUAUUGUAAAGCAGAUGUUGCAAUAACAAGACUAACACAGAAUAAUAAUAAAAUAUUAAAUAAACAGUAAUAAUAUUAAACAAAUCAUUUGGAAAAAGAUAAAGUUCUUAUCUUCUUCCAUGUUGGUGGUCGACACCCUCCUUGACGAGUUUUUUCAGCACUGACACUUUCAGUGGGUUUCCCCGGCAAGGUAGCCAGCGCCAGAGGCAUUCGGGUAGAGUGGUGAUGACCGUUCGAGUCCCCCGAUUUCAUUGGUAGUGGUGGCAAGGUUGUGAUACCAUCAGAACAGACGGUCGGAGAUCUGGUCGUGGAGACCAUGCGCCUCGCCGUCUGACCUUGCCUUCCGUCGAGUUGUCAAUGCUCGACCUUCAAAGGUGAGGAUUUGAGCAGCGCCGCUUGACUUCAUGAGCGAGAGAGAGAGAGACGCAUGAGUGCUGCGAGAAUAGUGAAUAGCAGUAGAAAUGAGAAGCUUCUGCUGGUGGUAGAGAGACCGGCUGUCGUAGCAGGAUUGGCGCAGUGUUUGAAAAUGGACUCAACUAUAGUGGUGACCUCAUCUUCCCUAAUGGGUCGGAGAGCCUUGAUCCUCUUGGGAGAGAAGAGCUUCAGAGUGCAGACCUUCCUGACCUUGACGUAGUGGGGUUCAUAGUUAGCCCAGAUAAGAUCCUGACCAUCAUUGCUAAACUUCGCGGCCGAUCUGCUCCGAUGCCGGUCCACCAGCUUCUGGUCAUGCUCCUUAAGCACCUCAUUGGCCAGCUUCGAGCUCGACACCACCACGUUCAACAUGGACCCCGUCCACACCAAUACGAUGAGGUCGUAUUCCUGGGCCUACUCGGCGUAGCAGCGGAACCUCAUGGGCUUAAUGUUGUAGAGGUUGCUGACAAUCGACCAUGCACGUGGGCCGGGCGGGAGCUUGAAUCUGAGCCUUUGGUAGAACUUGUAGGCAAGGGAAAUGAGAAUGAUGAUUGAUGAGAUGGGAAGUAGGAGUCCGCCGGAGAGAGCCAUGUUGGAUUGAUUGAGCCAAUUAAGGUAAGCGUGGGAAGGAUAUUGAUAUAUAUGAAAGACCCUUGGGAUGAAGUUGGUGAAUGGAUUUAUAUUGGGGAGAGAAAGAGAGAGAGAGAGUUGGUCACUAUGUAGGUGUUUAGUUCUUAGGUUUAUAAAGAUUCACAGUAGAGUAUGGUGAGGUUGUGAGGGUUUCAUGGUGGUGAGAUGAAAAAAAUGAAAGAGAACCGAUAUAGUUUUUCGUGUCGUUUCCCACAGAGGGCGCCAAAUGUUGAUGCACAAAAUCUGGCAGAUCUUGGAACAAUGUAAAAUCUGACCGUGAAUCAUACAAACGCAUACGAACACAAAGAUAUAUCGUGGUUCACCUCAAGUUGGGCUACGUCCACACUGAUGUCGAUAAGUGUUGAUGAAGGUUACAAUAUGCAUGGAGGCUAUAGAGGCUUAGUAUUUGCUCUCUGUAUUAUUCUCUGCCUCUCUGUCUGUUUCCUUUUUGUUUCCCUCUUAGUGAAGGUGAGGAGGAUCCCUUUUAUAGAAUAAGGGUUUCCUCCUCUUACAUAAAUCAUGGGCUCAGUCCUGAAGCCAAAAUAUCGAGGCCCAAUAUCUGGUUCAACACAUUUAAACUACUUAGGAGCUUUUUUCGGCUUAGAAUAUGGAUUCAUUUAAAUGGCGGUAGAUAAAAUGCGAAACCCAAACCACCAACCUAAGAAAUGCGGCAGCAGCCGCACCGACCAUCAAAAGAUUAAUAACCGGGAGCGGUCGUGUGAUUUUUGAUAUUGGUGACAUUGCUUUCAAAGGAGAACUGGAUGGUGACGAUGGAGGAGAGAGGCUUGGACUCACGACUUAAUCUUCUAUUUCAGGGGCAUUGAUCUUGAUUUUAAUCUUUUGGCCUGCUUUGUAAUGACCAGGUUCACCGCAAAUAACGUAGUAGGUGUCGGGUAUAUCAAACGUUAAGGCGGUAAAGGUACCGUAAUGAGAGGGGAAAUGGUGGCAGAAGAUCAGGCUUUAAGCCAAGAGGCUACAAGCUUUUCAAACACUUCGUCUCCCAGUAUAAUUCAUGGUGAGAUCAAUCCAAAUUUGCGUCUGUGCUCCGUGUUGCUAAACGAGUUCAAUUACCUACCGUGGUCACAUGCCAUUUCUCUUGCCUUAGGUGGAAGAUCGAAGCUAGGGUAUGUCAAUAGAAGCAUUGAAGCACCUCAACCAACCUCUACAUCGUAUGGUGCAUGGCAUGCAAAUGAUUAACUUGUUAUGUCUUGGAUACUUAAUUCCAUGGAACCUAAGUUAUCUGAGCUCUUCAGCUACUCAAAGUCCUCUCGUAUUUUGUGGGAAUCUAUCAAAGAGAUGUAUGACAGCCAAAAUAAUGCUGUUUGUAUAUUUCAACUGAAGAAGGACCUUGCUGGGCUAAGGCAAGGUGACCAAUCCUUCGUGCAACAUCUUGGAAGUAUGAAGUCCAUGUGGAAUGAACUCGACAUGUACCGACCACAUACAAUCGAUUCCGCUGCGCUCCUUAAAAGAGCUUAUAAAGACAAAGUGUUUCAACUCCUGGCAAGUCUAGGAGCUGAAUAUGAAGACCUUUGAAGUCAUUUAUUGAUGACCCCCAAUCUGCCCUCAUUUAAUAGUGUUUGUUAAGCUAUUCAAAGGGAGGAAACUUGAUGAAAAGUCAUGCACAUUGAGCCUAAGUCUAACUUUGAGGCUAGGGUUUUCAUUGGCAAUCAUAAACACACAGGUGAAAAAAUUUUCCUGGAAAGAAGGCAAAUUGGAAAUGUACUUACUACAACAUGAAAAGGCAUUUAAGGGAAAAAUGUUGGAUCAUGCACCCAGAGUUAAAACCAAGGUUUGAUAAAGAAGGAAGAAUGAUUAAAGAAGGGAAAGGAACCACUCCAAAGGCUCUCCAUUCAACUAGUUCUUUGAUUGGUGGAAUUGCAAACUUCACUGCAAAUCCAAUAGAUUUGAUAAAUGAAUUUGCUAGUUUUCUUCAAAGAAGAGGAGGCACCACUGAAGAUAAGGAAGUGACCACUAAGAACCCUACUGCCAUGCUAGGAAAAUUCGUAGGUUUCUUGACUGAGACCACAACUCAAGGUAAUGUUUCAGGUAUUAUCACUGCCCUCUCCAAUGUACUCAAUGAAAUUACACAUGAUUGUUGGAUUAUAGACUCAGGUGCCACUGAUCAUAUAACAAACAAGUCUUCUUGCUUAGAUAAGUUUCAAAAUAUGCCUAAAUCUACACAUGUGUUUGUAGCAAAUGGGAAAGGAGAACCUAUUCUAGGAAAAGGAAAACUUAAACUGUUAAGUGAUGAGAUCGAGUCAACAACUUUGUAUGUACCCUCAUUUCCUUUCCAACUUUUGUCCAUAUGAAAAAUCACAACCACUCUAGAUUGCCUUGCCAUAUUCUCUCCUCACAAUGUUGUAUUUCAGGAUCGAGUUAUUCGAAAGAAGAUUGGUGAAUGGUUUCUCUCAAAUGGACACUAUUAUCAUUCCAAGAAGUUCAAGCCUGUUAAAAACCUUAUUGCCAGCCUCAGUCUCCUUUAAGAAUACCAACUUUGGCAUCUUUGACUGGCCUUCCCUUAGAACCUGUGAUGACCAAACUCUUUCCUAAUUUUUGUAAACCUCUAAAUGAGUGAGAGAUAUGUCAAGUGUCAAAAGUAACUAGACUUCCUUUUGUUUCUUCCAUGUCUAGAACCAAUAAAUUGUUUAAGGUUGUUCACUCAGAUUUCUGGGGUCCUUCUCAUGUGACUCAUUUGAUGGAUAUAAAUACUAUGUCACUUUUAUUGAUGACUACUCUCGGGUCACUUGGGUUUAUCUCUUAAAGUUCAAGAGUGAAUUUUUUGAUGCUUUCAAAGACUUUCAUAAAUUGAUCACAAACUAAUUCUCAUCUAAGUUAAACUCUUACAAUUGGACAAUGGCAUUGAGUACACAUCCAAUAACAUGUCUAAUUAUUUGAGCAAUCAUGGGAUUUUACAUCAAACUAGCUGUGUUGGUACACCACAACAAAAUGGUGUAGCUAAGAGAAUGAACCGUGACUUAUUAGAGAAAACAAGGUCUCUUAUGUUUCAAAUGCAUGUUCCCAAAAGGUUUUGGUCUCAGGCCCUUCUCACUGCAGCUUACAUCAUCAACAGAUUACCUACUCGUGUUUUAAAAUCAAAAUCACCUGUUGAAGUAAUGAAGGGAAGAAAUAUUGAUAUCUUACACCUCAGAACCUUUGGGUGCACCUGUUAUGUACAUGUUCAAGCUGCACAUCGAGAUAAGCUUGAACCCAGAGCUGUCAAAAUUGUGUUUAUGGGAUAUUCAAGCUCUCAAAAAGGAUAUAAAUACUACAAUCCUCAUAAUGGAAAGACUGGAGUCUUAAGAGAUGUUCGAUUUGAUAAGCAUACUCCAUUUUUUCACAAAGGUUGCAGUGAAGAACCUCAGGGGGAGAGUCCUAUGGAAAUAUUUCCUUUGCCUACCCCAGCACACCUACAUGAAUGCAAUCCUUAAAAUGUUCUUUUCGAAUAUCUCUCAGAGCAACGUGAUGGUGAGGAAAUAGCUCAUGAUCAAGAAAACUCAGUCACUGCACCACAACCUGUCUUGGCUCCAUGAAGAAAUCCUACCCGAGACAGGCAUCCUUCAUUAAGGCUGUAAGAGUACAUUACAUACAAUGCAAGACAUCCUAUCUCUAAAGCUUUAACCUAUCAAAAACUGUCAACACCAUAUGCAACAUUUCUCAAUCAGUUGUCCACUAAUGUUGAACCAAGGAACUUUAAUGAAGCUUCUCACAUUCAAGUAUGGCAGGAAGCAAUAGAAGAAGAGCUCAAAGCACUGAAUGACAACCAAACAUGGAGUGUGGUUGAUCUUCCAAAGGGAAAAAUGGCAGUAGGGAGUAGGUGAAUAUACAAGACAAAGUUCCAUUCAAAUGGCAGUAUUGAAAGACAUAAGGCUCGAUUAGUAGCUUAUGGCUUCACACAAACUUAUGGCAUUGUCUACAAGGAGACAUUUGCUCAUGAAGCCAAAAUGAGCACGGUACGAGUGCUGUUGUUUAUCGCAGUUAAUCACGACUGGUCUCUAUUGCAAAUGGAUGUGAAAAAUGCAUUCCUCCAUGGUGAACUUGAAGAAGAGGUACACAUGAAGCUUCCUCCCGGACAUCCACAAGAGCAUGAAACUAACAAAGUUUGCAAACUUCACAAGGCUAUAUAUGGACUCAAGCAAUCCCCUUGAGCCUGGUACUCGAAGUUAAGCUCAGUUCUUGAAGCUGCAAGGUUCCAGAGGAGUCAUGCUGAUUCUUCAUUGUUUGUUCGUAAUGGUACAAAUGGUAAGGUCAUUGUCCUUAUAUUUGUUGAUGACCUUAUUAUAACGGGUGACAACAUAGAAUAAAUCAAUGCUCUCAAAUCCUCUUUUCAUCAACAAUUUGCUCUUAGGAUUUGGGAAUCUUAAAGUACUUUCUUGGCAUUGAAAUGGCCACAUCAUCCAGAGGAUUGUUCCUAAAUCAAAGAAGAUAUGGACUUGAUCUAUUGGAUGAAGCUCACAUGUUGGAUUGCAAGCUAGCACGCACCCCUCUUGUGAGCAAACUUCAAUUAGAUGUCCAAAGUGAACCAUUGUCAAACCCUAGUGUCUAUCAACGUAUGGUAGGAAAGCUAAUCUACCUCACAAUUAUAUGACCUGACAUUGCUUAUUCAAUAAGCCUUGUUAGCCAAUUUAUGCACUCUCCCACACUGAUUCACUGGGAGAUUGUCAAAAGGAUACUUAGAUACUUGAAGGGGUCAAUUGGAAAAGGCUUGCUUAUGAAGAAACAUGGCUCAAAUCACAUUAUGGCAUACACUGAUGCUGAUUGGGUAGGUAAUGCCCUCGAUCGCAAGUCUACCACUGGUUUCUGUACAAUUGUUGGUGGUAAUCUUGUCACAUGGAAAAGUAAAAAAUAAACGGUGAUUGCGCGAUCAAGUGUUGAGGCCGAGUAUAGAGCCAUGGCAUCAACGACUUGUGAAUUAAUCUGGUUAAAGAGUCUCCUAGCUGACCUUGGCUACAUCGACACAGAAUACAUCGACACAGAACCUAUGUCUCUAUUUUGUGACAACCAAGCUGCCAUACACAUAGCUUUGAACCUAGUUUUUCACAAGAGGACAAAGCAUAUUGAGGUUGAUUGUCAUUACAUCCGUGCCCAAGUGCAAUCCAAAGUCAUCAACACAGUGUACACUCGAAGUUCCGAUCAACUUGCUGACUUGUUCACAAAAGCUCUCGACUCUACUCAUUUCCAAAGAUUGUUGAGCAAUCUUGGAUCAAUUAAUCCUCUUGAUCCAGCUUGAGGGAGUAUUGAAACUGACCGGGUAUGAGCAUGCUAGAGUCUACUUGGGUCUAUGUUGGAAGGUUGCUCAAGGCACAUCACAACUCAUCAAAUUUCAAGUUGCAACUGCAACUCUAGCCCUCAUUCUCGGGUAGAGUUGCAGCUGCUACUAAACCGUCAUUUUUUGUUACUAACUAUCCCUUAAUUCUAGGGUUUAUGUCUUUUAGUAUUUCAGCUCUAGAUUUCUUGUAACUUGCAACUAGGGCUAGCCUUUUUAUCUUUUGGUCUCUUCCUUGCAGCUGUUUUGUAAUUGUUCAAUGGGUUCUUUGCUUGGCUCGGUCUCUCUAUAAGAGCCCUCACUUGUAAUACCAAUACAUGAUGAAAAUAUACAAAUGGUUUUGUUAAACUGAAUUCCAAUAACAAUUAAGCAAGUUUGUCUAUUGUGGAUACAAAGUCAAGCAAACAAGAUCGAGCAAAAUCAUACUUUGUGAUUACAAAGUCAAGGGUCCAUUGUAUAGGCGCUCAUUGUUGUAUAGCCUAGCUUUUAUUACAUGUAGUAGGAUGUAGUUGGGAGCUGCUGCCUUUAUUGUCGUGAAACUCUAGCACUCCUAUAUAAGGAGUUUCUUGUACCGUUUCUACAUAGAAACACAUCAACAUAUUAUUUCUCCAAAACAAAGCUUAAUUAUAAGUUUUCAAAUACCAUUCUCUUCAUGGUAUCAAUAGCCAUGUGUCUAACGACAAACCUCUAACUGAAUUUUUCCCUCUUCUUCUACCUUAAUCUAGUGAGUUUGUGACUGUAAUUUUUUUUUCUCUUCUGCCUUACCAUCUACUCGACUUUUCUUCAGCUUCCAUGGCCGCUUCUUCUCUUCUUACCAGCUCCCUUCCUAAUAUUUCCUAUUUGGUUUCAAUAAAACUUGAUCGAACCAAUUACAUAUUGUGGCUUGCCCAAUUUAAUCCUUUACUUAAAAGUAAUGAUCUUAUUGGCUAUGUUGAUGGUACAAAAACAUGUCCAACAAAGUUUCUUGAGGAUGUUACUACUCUCAAUCCCGAGUACGUGACUUGGCAGCGACAAUACCAACAAAAUAGUACUGCAUGCAUCAGAUACAAAGAUGGAUACGAGAAUUCACUGGCAUCCAUUGACUUUCAAGGAAAAGAAGAAUGAUGGUCCACUGCAGUUCUGUAAGGGAUGCCUGGAACCAGUGCUUGGGCCUCACUACACUUGCGACACGUGUAACAACAUUUACUCGUCCUAUGCCCAUAAGUUCAAUAUACAUAAAUCAUGUGCGGAGGUACCCCGUGAGAUCCACCACCUUACCCACUCCAAACACCCUCUUCUUCUCAAGUAAAACGACCACUACACAUGUGGUGUCUGUCUGUAACUGUAACCAGUCACAUCGAAGAGGAUACAUUCUAUCUCACUAUUGUUCUAAAUGCAACUUCUGUAUAGACCUGAAAUGUGCUUGGCAAAACCACGGUGAGCACAACUUCACCAUCCUUAGGAAGCCCAUUGAAUUCACUUGCGAUGUCUGUGGCCUAGGUGAUGGGUCUGGUUACAAAGACAACUUCUACCUCUGCAACAUUUGCAAGUUCCUUGUCCAUGAGCAAUGCUCUUGGUUACCACUUCGAGUCAAAAUAUCAUGGCACCAACACUGCCUCAAGCUUACCUGGUGGUUCCAAGACAUGUACCCUAAAGACCAAUAUUUCUGUGACAUCUGCUCAACAAACAUGGACGGAAACCGUGCUUUGUAUUGUUGUCAUGAUCAUGAAUGUCGUGAUUAUGCUGCCCACUGUAAAUGCUUAAGAAAAGAGGGGAUAAUCAUGAACGUCCUUGUCGAUGAUAAUGAUGAUGAUGCACCAUCCACAUCCAGAUGUCCCCCUGCUAAUGAGACCACCGCUGAUGAUAAACCCUUGCAGAUCGAGCACUUCAGUCAUCCACACAUGUUAACCCUCAUCGAUAGCCAAGAGGUGGCUAGACAAGACGACCAAGAUGAAGGAAUUACUUGUAACGGUUGCACGCUACCCAUCAUGAGGGGUGAGUCUUAUAGGUCAUGCACAGAACAAGCAAUAGAAAAGCCAUGUAAUUUCUCUCUCCACAUAAAUUGUGCUAAAUUACCCCGAAAGAGGCUUCUCCCACUUCACGAACACGAGCUCACACUCCUUCCAACAGCAUCUUCUGUCGGUGACGUUUUUGAGUGUGACAUGUGCAAGUCCUUGAGCCAAGGUUUCUCAUUCCAUUGUGAAGAUAGCGACUUCAAACUAGACCUCUAUUGCAAUAUUCUUUAUGAGCGUAAGCCUCUCCGUUGUGAUGCUCAUGUUCACACACUCCAGUUCAGCACAGAGCUCGUGUCCUGCAGCAGUUAUGGUACUCGUGAAAGGAUUUCUGCUUCAGAUGUGGCCGUAAGAGAUGCGACUUCCAGCUGUGUAUUCUGUGUGUUAAAUUACCUCUUACGGUUAGGUACAAUUACGACGAUCAUCCUCUCAAACUCACUUAUGCUAGUGUUAAAAAUGAGCUCGAUGAGUACUAUUGUGACAUAUGCGAAGGAAAACGAGAUCCAAAACAUUGGUUCUACUCCUGCCUGGAUUGUGACUUUGAAUGUCAUACUCAUUGCAUUAGAGGGAGGUAUCCGCAAGUCAAGUUAGGGGGCUCUUACAAGCAUCAUGAUCACCAGCACGACGUCGCCCUUGUUUAUAAGAGAAAAGGCAAGAUUCCUAAUGAUAAGAGAGAGCGCUUACUUCCUUGUUCCAAGUGUUCUAUGAUUUGCAAAGGAUUGGUUUGUGAAUGUUUGGUGUGUGGUAUUAAUAUGCACCUAAGGCAUAUAAGAAAGCAAAAGCAUAUAAAAUUUCUAUUUUGAAAUCUUGCUUUUCAUUGUUUGCGAUAGGCCUGGCAAUCGGGUCGUGUCAGUCGUGUUCGUGUCGUUUUCGUGUAACACCUGUUAGCUUAACGGGUCGUGUCGUGUCACACCCGUUAUCUUAACGGGUCCUUAACAGGUCGGGUCACUUUACCCGUUGGGUAAAGUGACCCGACCCGACCCGUUAUGACCCGUUAUGACCCGUUAAGAAAAAUAUUUUUUUUUUCUUAAACUUGCACAUACUACAUAUUGUCACAUAAAUAUUACUUUAAAACAUUAAAACGCAUUUGUUGUUUAAAUACUACAUCAACACUCGAAAAUAAGAGUAAUAAAAAAAAUCCACACAUUACUAAUCUAUUACAAAUAUUAAAUAUGCAAGGAUAUGCAAAAUGAAAGCGUUUUGUUUUCAAGGUUGUGAAGUCUUUUUCAAAAGUUUAAACCUUGUCAAUGGAACUCAAAGCUUGCAUGCUAUUCAUUUUACAAAAUCCUCAAUUUACGUCGAUCAUCAUGAGGAAGUUGCAUUGGAACUUUGGCUUGAUCUAUUGCCUUCUUCAAGAGUUAUGUUGAUAAUGUUUUCAGUAAGAUUUUCCAUGUCAGAACUCUCUUCCGCAUAAACUAAAUAUAGAAAAACCAAACAUUAAAAAUCAUUCAAAUUAUAAGAAAUUUACCAAAAUAAUUAUGAAAAGAAAUAAAACAAUAGUACUAUACCAUAUAAAAAUAUAUUACCUCCUUUUCCAAAUAGCCAAUCUCGUGUGCACAACAAAGCUUGAACUGUUUCUGGUAACAAUGAACUACGAUACUGAUCUAGUACUCUACCCCCAAUACUAAAUGCAGAUUCUGAUGCAACAGUUGAAAUGGGAAUUGUUAACACAUCUCGUGCUAACUGAGAAAGUAUCGGAUAAUGAAAACGCUCCAUUUGCCACCAAGAAAGAACAUCUAUGUCUACUUUUCUAUCUAUUCUUUUAUCCUCCAAAUACUUCUGCAAUUCAGUUUUUUCAAUCGAACUUGAACCAUCGUAAUUAUUAUCAAAAUCCUACAUCAUAAAAAAUCAUGCAUCAUGUUAAUUUCAAAUAUAAUAUCAACACUUUUUAUACUACUACUACAAUCUACAAAUAUAUAAAGUAAAUAAAAAAUAAACUUAGGUUACCUCAAAGAGAACAUCUACAGAUUCUGUUUGAUGAUUAGGCACUGAAUUCCUUGGAGUAUUUGAAUUAUCAAGAUGUGAAAGUUUUUCCAAGUACACACCAAAAAGAACAUUCAAUUUGUCAUUCACACCUUUGUAAAUUCGACCGAAUUCACACCAUGAAGCUUUGUGUAAGCCCAAUCCACAAAAUUCAAUUUAUAACGAGGGUCUAAGAUGAUUGCAAUUGCCAAAAUCAAACUAUACUCUGACCAAUACUUCUCAAACUUCAUGUACAUGUAAGUCGCCAUCUUAUUCAUGAAACUUUCAGAGGCAUCCAUGGCUGCCUUAAUUUGAAGUUGGAUUACGAACACCUUAGGGAAGAACAAAUUUGAUGUAGGGUACUUUGUCCCAGAGAAUAAGCACGUAACCUCAUAAAAGUACUCCAAAAACUUGGAAAUCUUCAUUAUUUUAUCCCACUCUUCAGAAGAAGGACAAGUAUUAAAAUUGGAAUCACUCAACCCUAAAUGAAUCAAAGCAUAUCGAUAGAAAAUUGCAUUAUCUAGCAUAAUGUAGGUUGAGUUCCAUCUAGUAGGGACAUCUUGUCUCAAACCUCUCCUACUAUCCAAUAUCCCCACUUGUCUAACACAUUCAUAAAACUUUAGUUUUCUAGCCUCAGAGCCCUUUAUAUACUUGACGCAUUCACGAAUCUUUAUCACCGAAGAAUCAAUUUCUUUAAGUCCAUCUUGAACUAUCAAAUUCAAGACAUGAGCACAACAACGCACAUGAAAGAAGUCACCAUUCAUCACGAGAAGACUUCUGAGAUUCAAUUGAUUCUUCAAAAUGCUAACAAAAGAAAUAUUUGAAGAAACAUUAUCCAAAGUAAUAGAAAAUAACUUCUUCUCAAUUCCCCACUCAGUCACCAAUGCAUUAAUUUUCUCAGAUAAUGCAACACCAGUAUGAGGAGGAGGCAUGUGACAAAAACUUAAAAAUUCUCUUAUGCAAUUUCCAAUCUUUGUCUACAAAGUGAGCAGUAAGAGCAAGAUACCCAUCAGUGCAUUGCGAGGUCCAUAAGUCUGAUGUCAAACAAAUUCUACCUUCAACCGAGUCUAGCAAAUUAUGAAGCCUUUGUUUUUCAUUUUUGAACAUCCUUAACACACAGGCUUUAAUUGUAUUUCUACACGGUAACUUAAUAUCAGGAGAUAUAUAUGCAAACAAAGCCCUAAUUCCCUCAUAUUCAGAAAAACUAAAAGGAAGAUUAUGCUUGAUGAUGGCCUCUACCAAUAAACCACGAAAUACCACCGGAUCAAAGUUUUGGGAACAGAAUUCAGACACCGACAAUCCAACAGUCUGUCCAGGGCAUGUUUUCAAAUGUCUAUUCAUAUUACCCGUCCCAUGAUGACUAUCAUCUAUUACCAGUUUCUUACAAUCUUUACAUUGAGCACGACUUUUACCAUCUUCAAAAAUAGUAGUCAAUUUGUUGAAAGUUUUCCAAACAGGAGACCUGAGUGUUCGCUUACCUAAUUUGAUCACUCUAGCCUUUUUCUUUGCCGGACUUGUAUUUGUAUCUUCCAUAUUUUCACUUCCAUGAUCAGGUUGUAUUCCCAUUGUCACUUCCACUGAUCCUCCAUCACUAAGGUUCGUAAAAUCUUGCUCUACAACAUCCAUUGCUUCAAGAAAGAAAAACAAAACUAUAAAAUCUUGCUCAUACCAAUUUCAUACCAUAUCUAUUUCAAAUUCACUUAUCCAUUUCAAUUUCAAAUAGAUCAGCACAUAGAUCAACAAAUAGAUCAUCAUUUCAUUUCAAUUUCAAUUUCAAUUUCAAAUUCAUACAUCCAUUUCAAAUUCAUACAUCAACAAAUAAUACUAUUUUGUUUUUGCAUUAAUCCAUAUAAUAUAAGGCAUAACGGAUGCAAAGUUAACCAAAAAAUGAUGAAUAGCUAGCCACUGUGAAAAUGAUGCAAAGUUAACUAUAAGAUAAUGAUUAGGGUUAUCCCCAUCAACUCAACACCUCUCCAUUUCUUUCCAAUAAUUCAUCCAAUUCAGAAACCCUCCUCACCAACCCUUCUAUUUCUAUACAAAAAGAUGAAUUGUUAACCAUUGCGAAAACAUGUGGUUAUCAGAUAACAAUACGGGUGUUGGACAAAGGGCAUGAACUUCAAAGCUUUCCCCAUCAUAGCCUCAUUUAGAUGUGUUUGAUAUAUAUGGUUCUGUCUUUUUAACACACAUUUAGAAACCUUAAUUUCAGAAAAUCGUAAUUCCUGUGAUUAUUAUUUAUAUCAAUUAGCAAAUACCAAAUAGAUCAGCAAAUUCAGCACAACAAACUGAGCAAAGAAAUCAUGAAGCAAAUUAACCUUCUCCAAAAGCCCUAAUUUAGAAACCCUAAUUUCAAAAAUUCAUAAUUCCAAAAGUCCUAAUUCAGAAACCCUUGAGUUCAUUGUAGGAAUUUUUUACCUUGUGCAGUGAGGUGAGGAGUGCGGACUGAGAUCGAGAGCUCGAUUCAGGAGCCGUAUUUGGGUGGUACUGGUAUGGAGUCCGGAGUCUGGAAUCUGGACAGUAUGUGAACCAGUGAAGUCGCGAUUUAGGUGAUGACUGAGGACUGACAGAGUGACUGAGUGAGGGGUGACGGUCUGGGUGAGGUCGAGGACGAUGAGGAGGGUGAUCCGGUGAGGUCACUGAGACUGAGGUGAGGGUGACUCGGUGACGGUGAGGCGCCGCGUGAGGUCGAUCGAGAGAGAGACAGAAAGAAUGAUUUGAGUUUCUGAUUUGAGAAAGAAUAGAAGGAUAGCCUACAAUGGACGGCUGAGAUUAAAUCUCAGCCGAUCCAAUGGUCAUCAAUUUUUAAAAUUUAAUUUAAUAUAUAUAUAUAUAUAUAAUUAUUAUAGUUUUUAGGGGUAUAAAAUUUUGUGGCAUCCAUCUACUAGUGUAAAUAUUUUAAAUUGAAGAUCGAAUUCAUUCAUUGUAUUCAUAUAGGGUCAAGGAGUGUAGUUGUAAAAAAUCAUCAAAAUCGGAGUUAAAAUAACCGUUAAAUCGUGAUUUUUUGUUUAUAACCGUCGAAACGUUUUGUCUUGUUCCUUGAUCUCUGAAUGUUUUUUUUUUGCAAUUUUUGGCGUACUUGAUCUCAAAGUAUAUACAAACAUGUUUGACGGUUGGAUCGUUGAAAUUAGUUUCGUAGAAUAUGUAUCCCAUCAAAACAAUAGAUUCACUAACACUUAAGAGUUUAUUCAUACUUUCAUCAAGUAUAACAUAAGAUUUUGUGGUAUCCACUAGUGUAAAUAUUUUAAAUUGAAGAUCGAAUUCAUUCAUUAUAUUCAUAUAGGGUCAAGGAGUGUAGUUGUAAAAAAUCAUCAAAAUCGGAGUUAAAAUAACCGUUAAAUCGUGAUUUUUUGUUUAUAACCGUCGAAACGUUUUGUCUUGUUCCUUGAUCUCUGAAUGUUUUUUUUUUGCAAUUUUUGGCGUACUUGAUCUCAAAGUAUAUACAAACAUGUUUGACGGUUGGAUUGUUGAAAUUAGUUUCGUAGAAUACGUAUCCCAUCAAAACAAUAGAUUUACUAACACUUAAGAGUUUAUUCAUACUUUCAUCAAGUAUAACAUAAGAUUUUGUGGUAUACACUAGUGUAAAUAUUUUAAAUUGAAGAUCGAAUUCAUUCAUUGUAUUCAUAUAGGGUCAAGGUGUGUAGUUGUAAAAAAUCAUCAAAAUCAGAGUUAAAAUAACCGUUAAAUCGUGAUUUUUUGUUUAUAAUCGUCGAAAAGUUUUGUCUUGUUACAUGAUCUCUGAAUGUUUGUUUUUUUGUAAUUUUUGGCGUAUGAGAUCUCGAAGUAUAUACAAACAUGUUUGACGGUUGGAUCGUUGAAAUUAGUUUCGUAGAAUAUGUAUCCCAUCAAAACAAUAGAUUCACUAACACUUAAGAGUUUAUUCAUACUUUCAUCAAAUAUAACAUAAGAUUUUGCGGUAUCCACUAGUGUAAAUAUUUUAAAUUGAAGAUCAAAUUCAUUCAUUGUAUUCAUAUAGGGUCAAGGAGUGUAGUUGUAAAAAAUCAUCAAAAUCGGAGUUAAAAUAACCGUUAAAUCGUGAUUUUUUGUUUAUAACCGUCAAAACGUUUUGUCUUGUUCCUUGAUCUCUGAAUGUUUUUUUUUUGCAAUUUUUGGCGUACUUGAUCUCAAAGUAUAUACAAACAUGUUUGACGGUUGGAUCGUUGAAAUUAGUUUCGUAUAAUUCGUAUCCCAAGAAGUUCAAUGGUGUGUGUGUUACGUAUAUAUAUAUAUGUUAAGUAGAUUUAAAUCUAUUUAUUUUGUAUGUAUAAUUAUUAUAGUUUUUAGGGGUAUAAAAUUUAAUAUAUAUAUUUAUAUAUAUAAUUAUUAUAGUUAAUAUUUUGGGGGUAUAAUUAUUAUAGUAUAUAAAAUUAUAAUUAUUAUAAUUAUUAUAGCUAAUCAAUAAUAUAUAUUUAUUUGGGGGUAUAAUUAUUAUAGUAUAUAUAUAUUAUUAUAUUAUUAUAGUUAAUCUAAUAUAUAUAUAUAUAUAUAUAAUUAUUAUAGUUCUUAGGGUAUAAAAUUGUUAAAUUAAUAUAUAUAAUUAUUAUAGUAUUUUUUAGGGUUAUAAAAUUAUUAAAUUAAUAUUCUGCUUAUCGUGUAUCGUGUUACUCACGUGUAUACCCGAACCAACCCGUUAUCUUAACAGGUGCUUAUCGGGUUACCCGAUAACGACCCGUUUCGUUAUCGUGUCGACUCGAACACCUGUUAAUUUCGUGUCGUGUCGUGUCGGAUUAUCGGGUCGUGUCAGGAAUUGCCAGGCCUAGUUUGCGAGCAUAUCAGAAUGUGUGUAAGCGUGUGCUCGUGCGCGUGUUUGUGAAUAUGACCACUCUUUAUCAAGGACCAUAAACCACGGCGGAAGAAAACAAACAAUUGUCUAAACAACCUACAUUUGUUUUGCUGUGAUAAGUAAAAAGGACAACAGCAUAUAUUCACAGAGAUGACUGUUAUCAAGCUUAAAGGGAACGACAUCCAUGACUCAGCACGGGAACACAUAAUUACAUAGACUUAAUAAAAUUAAAAUAAAAUCUGUUAACCCUUAAACUCACCUGAUUUUCCUUUGUGGAGUAUAUUUGAGUAUCCUCAGCUAUCAAUUGCGACAAAGUGUCAACACUAACCUUCUGCCAACAUGUGCAUAAGAAGUCAGAGUAAGACAUUAUUCAUUUGCUGUGAGAGAGAGAGAGAGAGAGAGAGAGAGAGAGAGAGAGUUCAGAUGAUACCAUGGAAAACCAUUACAUAGGCCACAUCUCUAGUUCACAUAUCUAAAUUGUGAAUUCAUUGAAUGAUGAAUGAUGUUGUAUAUGAAGCUACAAAUAUACGACAAGCAAUAAUGAUAGAUAAAUUCAUCUAUAUUGGUUUAUUAAAGUUGGUCAAACAUACCUUUUGUUUUGAUCGGGAUUUAGUAGUUUGGUAGUUUCAUUCUAAUUUCCAUAGUUUAUAAUAGUUAACCAACUAAAAGUGCUUUCUUUUGAUUACUAUCUAAUAUAUUUUGGCCAGUUGGCAAUCCUACUAGAUUUACUUAGGCGCACAUCAAAAAUGUGUAUUAUACAUGUACAUAAGAUAUAAUGCUAAAUAUCUUUUUAUAGUUGUCUCAUAUUACAUAAAAAGAGUUAAAGUACUCUCUCUCUCUCUUUGCUUGAAAACUAUGUAUCCAUUUCAUCAUCAUGCAUUUUUUUGGUGAAGCUACUAUGUUUUUGUAAUUUUUUUUUAUAUUGAGGAGGAAUAGAGGCUAAAGUACCUCCAAUUUGUUCAAGAGGCUUUAGCUCAUGCCACAGUUUGCUUCACAUACCUCUAUUGUUAGCUUCCAUACAAUAUGUUGUGUGUUUCGUUGCUGCAAGUUUGUAAUUUUACUUGCUACUUGAUUAUAAAAAUGUAAAACAAAAUCCGUCUGUGAUUACAAAUUUGUAUUCAAGUUUAGACGUUUUUCUAGUGUAAGACAUAUGUUGCAUAGGCAUGUAAAUGGUACAAAUUGUUUCUGGUUUUGGACAAUAAGCUUUUGAGUUUUACUAUCCUUGCAAGAGGACUGUGACUCAAGCGAACAAAUUUAGUGUUUGGGGAAUAGAGUUUGGUUCUCUUUAAUACAUAAUUUAACAAAGGCCUACAAAUUUUCCUUGAAGGAAUAUGCAAAUGUGUUCUCCGCAACUUGGCCUGCAGUUUAUGUGAAGGGGCAUUAAUGUGUGUUAUUUGCUUUUCGUAAAAUGUGUGUUAUCUGCAUUGGUGCAUUUGAGGGUGUGAUUACCUUCCUACCAAAUGCGAUGGCAAGUGCCUUCGCCCAUAAGCGGUAGGUCUCGGGUUCGAGACUUGGGAGUAGCCUCUCCAUAAAUGGGGGUAAGGCUAGCCGACAUUCACCUCUCCCAGACCCUGCGUAAAGCGGGAGCCUUGUGCACUGGGUACGACAUUUUUUUAUUGUGACUAAUACAUUCAAUGCCCGUAACGAAGUGCGAACAGAUUUUCUAGUAUGUUCUAAUGUAUAGAACAAAAUUCAUGUCCUCAGAUUAAUUUUUUGAAAAUAUAUAUUACAGUAAACAGUGAAGCCAUGUCUUGACUAGUAUAUCAAACACGCUCACGGUUUGCAAAGACAGACCGUUUGACCAUUUCAUAUGAUUAUUCAAAUUAGUCACUUUUACUUAACUUGUGCACGUACAAGAUUAUGGUUCGGUUCUUUGCACCAGAAGAAACCAAUGCAAACCAGAGCAGAAAAGCAUGAAAACACAUAAUUACUUUAUGUGCAGAACGUACCCAGAUGUAUUUCUACCAAAAGUAAAAUUCAUAAAUAACUUAGUUGACAUACAAGAUCUACCCCAAUCAAACAAACAGUUGUUCAUGCCAAGCAUUGAAACCUUUUUGUAUGAAUGAUUUGAUUCCAAAUUUCAACCAAAAGUUAUAACUGCACCACCGCGCACGCCACACUGAAAAGGUAUAUACGGCCGGGCAGUGUAGAAAUCUCAUCUCAAUGUGAUAAAACCUUAACAGUUAAUAAGUUCCAAACCAUUUGACAUCAAUAUCUCAUAUUAGAGAAACGCCCUUCUUCCAAAUGAUGGCCAGAUUUGUCAUCUUAUGAUGUCAAUUUUUCUUCUCUUUGAUUUUUUCACAUAAUUUUCUAAUUGUCCCAUAAAAAAUUUGUCUUUAGAUUGUUAGAGUAAUAUUUGAAAAUACGAAAAUAAUACAAGAAUUUCAAUGAUAAUAAUCAUAAUGAAAAUUGUUGAUGCACAAAAUCAGUAGGGACUUUGGUACAACAGAAAAUGUUAAGUUUGUGACAUUCGCUAGAUUGAUCCGGUCGCUAGUGUGGAUAAGUAUGUAAAUGGAUAGAGACAGGGAAGCAAACACAAGAUGUAAGUGGUUCACCUAGAUUGGCUACGUCCACGGAGUAGAAGAGUUCUCAUUAAUUGUGAAGGGUUUACACAAGUACAUAGGUUCAAGCUCUCAUUUAGUGAGUACAAGUGAAUGAUUUAGUACAAAUGACAUUCGGAAAUAUUGUGGGAGAAUGAUCUCCUUUUAUAGAAGAGAGUUUUUAGUUUUGUUUUGACAUUGACACGUGUUGUGUUGUGAUUGGCUUUUGAUGUUGACACAUGUCGCGCUAUGAUUGGCUUCUGAUGUCGACACGUGUCGCGCUGUGAUUGGCCUCUUAGUUGAAAGGAAACUCUUAUGGGUCCUUGAUGGUAUAACGUUGACCAGUGCUCGGUAGUUUCGAGAUUGGUCAAGUAUGGUACAAACAAAAAUAACAACAUAAAUUGUAUACAAGAUUAAUAUAAACAACAGAGAAAGGAAGAAAUGCUGACAAACUUGGAGAUUGAGACUUGCAUGAAUGCAAUGUCCUAAAGACAGAAUUUCGCCCAUACUCGUAGUUCGGUAGGCGUUUGUCUCCCAGAAUUUAACAAUAUAUAAUCCAAAGUUGAAGCACUUUAAAUCUUUGAACCCUGGUGGAAAUAGAGAGGGGAAACCCCGUUUCUCAAGAGUAAGAAUCUAUUUUGUUUUUGUAUGCAUUAGACAGGUGGGAUGCUUGAGUUUAUAGAAUUUGAGCCAUCCAUUUUGAAACAUUUGAUUGUUGAUUAAAGUUCCAAUUAACCGAUGCAACUCAUGAAUUUGAAUUCAAUUAUAACACUUGACUCUUUAUUUUCAUUAAAAAAUUAAAUAAAUAUUAUAAAUUAAUUUCCAACGAACAAUAAGUUUGUUAGUAUUUCUUACUUUCUCUGUUGUUUAUAUUAAUCUUGUAUACAAUUUAAAUUUAUGUUGUAAUUUUCAUUAUGAUUAUUAUCAUUAAAAUUCUUGUAUUAUUUUCAUAUUUUUUUAAUAUUGCUCCAACACUGCAUAGUAUAAUCUCUGUAAAAUAACCUUAUAAAUGAAGUUAAAUAUUUUGUCACAAGAAAAGGAAAAUUCAAUGAUCUAAACCAGAAUUAUUAAAGGUUAACAAAUUAUUAGAAUCUUUUAUUUUUCGUGAAAUGCAAGCUAUCAAAUUAUACAUGACGAGAUAAAGAAAUAAACAUGGCCUAGUCAUCAAGGAUUCUUAGUGUAAUACCCUGAAAAUUUAAAAUACAUGGUUAUGUGGAGUAAAUCGAGAAUAAAUGAUUUAUGGUUAUGAAAAAUUUAAUUAAGAACUUUUAAAGUUUGUUUUCAGAAAUUAUUAUAAUUUACAACGUAAAAUUUAUUGAUAAGUGAAAAGAUCAAAAUGCCCGUAAGGAGAUGUGUUGACUUUUGUUAACCUCGUCGUCGUGACACGUUUGACAUAUAAUUUAGUAUAUUUGAAUAAUGUUCGUUGCCACAAAUUGGGUGCUAAUCGGAAUUUCGACGAAGAAGUUGCGGAUUUUUAAUCUUUUAGGUGAUGGGCAAUAUAGUAAAUUGGGAAAAAAAAAACAGGAGAUUGUUCUAGAAGGGAGGAGACCAUUUUCUUCUUCCGUGGCCGAGGGGGGGGGUUGGAUGAUCGAAGGGAAAAAAAAAGGGAGGGGGUUGUUCUUGUUUCCGUUUUGGGCUCCCCUAAACACAAAUCUUAUACCUCUUUCCUUUAAUCCUCGAUUUUGACCAACCUUACAUCUUAACUCAAGUCCUCGUCGAGCCCAUCACGUUUGUCACCUCGAUUUUGCCAGAAAUCACCAAACAAGGCAGAAGUUCGUAGCUUUGUUUACAGGGAGACUUAUCAGUGUUCCUACAUGGCAGCCCGAGCCGGUUCUUCUUUUGCUUGGGAAGACCCCGAAAUAGAAAGAUCUGAUGCCGCAUCAGAUACACCCCUUGCCGUCUUAAGUCAUGUCUGACUUUGUCAGUGGACAAGGCCAGAAAGGAAGAAAGCAUGCUCGAACAGGUGCAAGUCCUUCUCCCCAUCCAUUGGCUUUUCAAUCGAUUUAAGUAAUUCUAAAUUUAAGAGAGCCUGGAGGUAUGCAUGCCAAUCUUCCUCGUAGAUUAAUAUGAGUUAUAAAGUAAGCUAACUAUUGUAUAUGUGCUUGAAUUCUGACCAUGAGGUUGAAAGCUUGGACGAAUUAACGAGUGGUUAGACAAUUGUAAAAUGGUUGAGAUAAAUAAUUAAUUGGAUAAGGAACCCAAGUUGAAAUUCAAAGAGGAUCCAAAGUUGAAAUUCAUUGCAAACUUGAAUUGAAAGAGAUUAAAUUCAAAGUUCUGUGAAUUAUAGGCCAAUAUCCACCCUAUUUAUAGCAAAAAAAAAAAAAUUCAAAUCCAACGGCAAGUUGAUGUCACUUAACCAUUGGAUUUGAAUUUAAGUUGUAGUUUUUAAAUAAUAAAUUAUGUUUGGCCCUCAGUUAGAGACGGUUUUUUGUGACAAGACUAAAACGAACCCUAUGACCCUUUGGCCCUCGGUUGGAGAUGAAGGUAAAUACAGUCAUGUAUUGUUCAUUAAAAUAUUAAUUUCUUUGAGAACUUUAGCCUUCUGACCAACCUUCGAUAGGAGAUGGUCUUAAAUUCUUAACGUAAAGCCGAUUGUUGUGCUCUAAUAAAAAAAAAAAAGGCUUCGGUUAUGCUUUAAGCACCUUCGCCUUUGCCUUUUGCCUCUUUUUUUUUUUUUUUUUAAAUCACACCUUUGCCUUUUGUUUGCCUUGCCUUCUACUUAAAGCACAUCUGGCCUUUUAUUUUAUUUUUAAUUGCUCGUCAAUACGAACCCAGAAGCAUAAAUUAGAUCCAAAUCAAAUUUGUAACGAAAAAAAAGUUGGAUGAUAACUGAUAAAUUUUUACACGGGCUUGUGUGAAACUCGCACAUGUUGAAAAAGAAAUGCCUGACUUUGGUUUUGUCUUUGGUGAGUUUUAUUUUCUUUAAAUAAGGGUUUGACUCCGGUCAAUAGUAUCGGGUGGAGGGGCCGUGUGUGUAAAUAUGUGUUUUCUUGGGUCAAGUGUGUAAAUAUAUUAGUUUGUUUGAAAUGAAAGGGAUGUCUGGUCGAAUGGGACACGUGGCAUGUGUGUGAUUCGGAUGUGACUGGGGAGAAAUUUUUUAUUAGGAUCGGAAUAUGAAUGGUACAUCACAUGUUUUUAUAUAAGUGGUUAAAAUUUUUUUUGUUAAGUUAUUAAGUUUUUAGCACAUAUAUUACAUCAUUUAUAUAGUGACACGUGGUGUAUCAUCCCGUGUUCCGAUCACACUCACAAAUCUCUUGUAACUAGAGAGAAAUUUUUCAUUUUAACCAGAACACGAGUGGUACACCAUGUGUUUUUAUAUAAGUAGUGAGAAAUUUUAGUUUUUAAAUUAUUAAAUUUUUAACAUAAGUAUUUCACUAUUUAUAUAAUGACACCUAGUAUACCAUCUCGUGUACCGAUCAUAUUGAAAAAUCUCCAGCGAUCGGAUUUGGAUCCCAAUGUAUGACUCAGGUCAGGGCUGCUAUCUUACGGACUUUUUGGGCUUCGGCGGUUCGGCCCACCAAUGACCAACCCGAAUACGAAUCCGAACCAGAACCGUCGUGGGUCAAACCAAGUAAAACGCUUUUUCCGUUGGAAAAUCAUGAAACCUGCAUGUGUGACAUUGCAAUUUUGCCUCCAAGCCGCUCUAGUUCUGCUCCAGAGCAACACACAGUAGAGAGAGAAAGAAGCCAAGAGAGAGAGAGGGGGAGAGGGAUGGCCUCGCCGUCAGGACCCGAAACUCCGUCGCCGAACAUCUACAUACCGCCGGAGUGGUCCGAGGCAGCAGACUGUAUAGCAUACGAUUCAGUCACUUGGCCGCCACCCAUUGCCUUAGUAUGUGGCGCUAAAAACUGCGGAAAAUCCACCUUUUCCCGCCACCUCCUCAACAUUUUUCUCCGGAGGUCAGUCAGCUUCAAGCUCCCUUUCCCCACUUUGUAACCGUUGAUCAAAUUCACGGCUCUGAUGAUUAGUUUUUUGAGUAAAAGUUGAUUUCUUUGUGUUUGUUUUCAUGUUAGCUGAAUUGGGUCACCUUAUUUACCUGGAUUCUCUCUGUUUUGGGAGUGAAUGUGUAUAAAUUUUUCAUCUUUUAACUCGGUUUGUUUUGAAUUUAAAUUUUUACUACUUUUUUGGGUAUGUAGGUUUGUUUUUUACCAUGUUUUUCUGUAAUUUUGUUUCCAGGUAUAAAAAAGUUGGUUACUUGGAUACAGAUGUCGGUCAACCGGAGUUCAGUCCUCCUGGUUUUGUAUCUCUCACUGUAAUAGAUGAAGCCACUCCAGGCAAUUGUUUAUUUUCUGCACUUACUGUGAAUAAUUUGCUUUAGAAUUUGAAAGGAUUGUUAAUCAUGUAUUCAUGUUAGAAUACCGGUUUUGUUUGGUUUGAUUGCUAAUUGAGUUUUCUUUUCUUUUUUGGUUACAAAUAGAUUUGACAAUCCCGCAUCUGAAGACACCGGAGAGGUAUGAACAGUCCUCUGCCUCGUUAUGGUUUUGAACUUGUUAGCAGUAGUAGUUAUAGUGCUUACCGGAAUACACUCAUUAUUAUGUAGUAGAUGACAAAUAUGUAGGGCAUGAAUAUUGUAAUUUGACAUUCCUUCGGAGCAAGGUUACGUAUAUUUUUUUGCUAGUUUCAAGCUGAGAAAAUGGUUUAUCAUAUUUUUUACCAUAAAGAUUUCAAUUUAGCUCAUCAAUGUUGUAGUAGACGUUGAUUCCUUAUAUAGCAUUUGGAAUGGAGUGUUGUUCUCAAUUGAGAAAUUUUGGAACAAUGCAAUUGGUAUGAAAAUUCGGGACUUAGUAAGGGUUCAGUGAAGACAUUAGUUGCUCUAUAAUCAAAGCUGUAUGCAUCGGUUUUGGAUCACACGGUAUAAACAAGACUUGGAGUUAAAAUUAUAAUUACAAAGCUGGAAAUUUUCGGUUCACAGAAUUUGAAAUGGGACUAGUUAACCUGAGUUCAGUCCUCCUCUCCCUCUCUCUCCUGCCAUGCAUGGAUUUUUUUAUACUAGGUCUGAUGUAAUGAAUAAAGGGAAUCUUGGAAUCUGAUGACUUAUAAUUUGUCUCUUUUUCUCAGAUGUCUUUUCUUUGGUGAUGUUUCUUCGAAGACGAAUCCUACAACAUACUUGAAUUCUAUAUAUUUUCUUUAUAUGAUUACUAUAAGAAGGAAUACUGCUUAUCUGACCAGAGUGAUAGACCUACCAAGACUGGAUUGCCUCUUGUUGUGAAUACACCUGGCUGGGUGAAAGGUAUGCUCUUUUACUUGGUCAAUUGCUCCUCUCUUUUAAUUGUGAUUGAACAAAAUCUCCCUAUCUGUAGUUUUGUUUGCUUGUUUGUUUGUUCUUCACUUGGUCAAUUGCCCCCCUCUGGCUUUUUUUCUGUAGAUAUUUUAUGAACUAAAUUUUCGCAGGUUUCAUCCUAGCCAUGUACCGUUUGAGGCAAAGGCCAAGUGGCUAUUUUAUGAAUCUUCUUUUGAUGGUUAUCGCUGUUUGGAUAUGAAUAUUAUAUAUGAUUUCUUCAUUCCUCUUGUGUACUAGGUGUUGGUUAUGAUUUAUUGGUGGAUAUGUUGAAAUAUAUUGCCCCUACCCAUGUUGUUAAAAUAAACAUAUCAGCCAAGAGUAAGAAUCUACCAAGUGGGGCAUUCUGGUUAGAUGAGGAUCAUGAUGCUAUGCUAAAUCUGAUAGAGAUCAAUUCAGCUCGUCAGGACUCUUUCAAUAGAUCGUAAGUCUUAGCGUUUUCAAGAAUAUCUGGAGACUUUUAUUUUGGAUGCAGGUUAUUUGUACAGUUUUUUUAAUUGCUUUUCCUCCCUUCCAGUACAUUUAAUUUCGUUAUUAUUAAUUUUUAAUUCGAGAAUCAUUUAUAUGAUGUAUAAUUCUUCUUUUCUUGAUUAAAAUACUAAGUUGCAAUGGUCACAUUAGUUUCAGACCAAGUGCCAAAUCUCUUUAGUAUGCUCCAUAAAAUAUAUGUAGGAGGUGAUCACUUUUAGUUAAGCUUAGAAGAAUUCAUCUUUUAUACAAGAUUAUUGAAUCAAGUGAUCAAGUGUCGGGAAUUUACAUAAAUUAUUUUUGCUUCAUAAGCAGCAUAUGCUGGUGGAAGAAGACAAGGAGUUAUAUGGAUGUACUGGAUUUUCCCGUGACAUAUUAUCUUUGUUGUGUUGCAGGGUUCUAGUACAAAAGGAUGCACGUCUGUUGCAUGAUGUACGAAUACUGGCUUAUUUCAGGCAGUGCUUUUCAAGUAGCCUAAACAUUACUACAAUCAAAGAACUUGCUAAUGCUCUGGCCUCUCAACCUCCUUAUGAAGUUCCAAUAUCUAGCAUCAAGAUUAGACAUCUCCAUUGUCAGGUCGGUUCUUAGUUCUGACUGUUGAUCGACUCACUGCAAGUUUCGGAAAUUUUAAAAUCUGUGUGUCUUUUACAUGUACGAGUGAAUUUUGCAUUCUAUUCCUGUUUGCUGUGAGGGUCUGUAGAAAAUGUUACGGGAGAGCUUAGUGGUGAUUACUUUUAUACCUCAUAGCUUUUGAUUUUGUGUCAACAACCAAGGGACUUUUAUUACUAUUAAUUGCUAUUAUAAUUUCAAUUAAGGCUUGUAACAGUUUAGUUCUUUUAUACCAGGUCCCAGGUGCUGAGAGCUUCUACAGUUUGAACGCAACCAUUGUUGGCUUGGCAGUUAGCUCUGGAGGAUCAAAAGAUUUACCUUGGUGUGUUGGUCUUGGUAGGUUACUCUGUUUUUCAACAUUUUGUCUAUUAUAUUUUAUCUAUUUUGUAUAGCUUUGCUCGUAAUUUUAUGUUUUCUGGCUCCAAUACGUGUGGAAGUGAGUUUUCAGAAAAAUUAAGAAGACUUAGUUCUAGAACUUGGUUCAGGGUGCCAGGAAACUAGGUUCUUUAGUUUUUUAUGUUUAUGUUAUUAGGGAAAUCCAGAUUUUCAUUGUUGGUGCGAUGCAGAAACAUAUAGAUAGGUUGAAGCAAUCAAUUUGAACUAAGGUUCUUAUUCAUUUCAAUUGAUGCCUUUUUAAAAAAUAAUAGGAAUUGUGAGAGGCAUUGACACAGUCAAAGGCUUGCUAUAUGUGAUAACACCUGUUCCAAGAGGCACUCUGGAGAAGGUCAAUCUUUUCCUGCAAGGUUAUAUCCAAAUUCCUACUGUGUUGUUGCAGGUAACUGAACCCCUCCCAUGUAAUACAUGUUUCAGACCAAUUGUUUGCUUCUUCAUAGUCUCUCACAUGCAUUCAAGUUUGGAUUCUUUGCCCUUUUCCAAAUACAAUAUGAUCUUAGAGAAGGAAUAACAGUUCGGGAAGAAACGUUCUUGUUGCAUGGAUAGUCAAUCAGUCAGUUAACCACUAUUACAGGGGUUGCUAGGUGUAGUGCAUGUGCAUGUGUGUGGUUUCGUUUUCAGAAACUGGAGAUCUUCGAUUGUGAUUGAAAUUUUCUCUAGUACUCUAGUAGCACCAUGUUAGGGAAGUUUAUACAACAGCUAGGAGAAUGUUAUGGGCAUGUCUACAGUAGUAUACACAUAAUCACUCACAUACACUGAACAAAAUAUCAGAAUCUUGUCGUUCGCAGACUACUACUUUAUUGGAAAUCUAUUGGAAGAACUUGAUUCGCCACAUUAAGGCUCGUUUGGAAGUGCUUUAAUUCCCUUCUAACUUCCUUCAGUAAAUGAAAAGAAGAACCUGCAUAUCGGAUCACCUAACAUAUAUUUCUAUCUCAUCCAAUAUUACCAAGUGUUAUUUCUUACUGAAUCUAUUGAAUUUCAGGUGCAGGGCUGCAUAUCGCCUUACAUGUCUGCAAAUGUUCUCUCAACAAGCUAAGCUCGUUCACAGUUGCUUGGGUUUCAAACAACAUCCUUUACAGUCAUUAAGCUAAGUUUUAUCCCACCAUGCGAGAGACUGACAACCAAUAGGUCAGCUUGCAUAUGGAAUUCCAAAUAGACGAUAUUUUUUUAUCGCAUGGAUUUGAUAGUAAAGGAAAUGUGAAAUGGUUAUCUAUGAACUACUGGAUGUGGUGAUUACACAAUUAGCAAAAUUACAUUUUCGUUGAAACUCGUACACAUAUAUCAAAAGUAAUUGUUGUUGCUGUGAGUUGCAGAACUGCAUUUUCAAUAUAUGUUUCAUGGAGUAGUUUGCAUUGUCGAAUCACGCAACAAGUAUUCUGAGAUUGACAGAUACUCCGGUGAUUCGAUUUUUCUGUAGCAAUCGUUAGCAAAUUACUGGGUGAUACAGAAAGACAAUGUAAAUGCCAGGAAUGGGUCAGUUAAAGUGCCAUCAUCAUCUACAUUCUACAUUUCUACAGAAGUAAAUGCAUGGCUGCCUGCCUUGCAUAAUUCCAUUGGCAUGUGCAAGCUUUCCAGAAGAUAAUUCAAUGGGAUCGUGGAGUUGUCUAGAAGCAAGGUUAGAGGCUUUGUUUGGAGUAGAAGCUACAUAAUGUGAUUGCAUGUUUAGCUUUUUCAAUUUCGUCUUUUUUUUUCAUUUCUCGGAGCUAAAGAAAGAUUUGGCGCAAAACUUAACUGGCCACAGUGGUGUUCUGGGAUUCGUAUAGCCAACCACACUUAGUGGGGUAAGGCUUUGGGUGUUGUUUUUGUUGUUGUUCCAUAUUAAUCUUCUUAAUGUCGAAGCUAAGUUGCACCGAUGGUCCCCGUACUUCAUCUAGAUUUCACUUUUGUCACCAUGUUUUUUUUUUCUUACCAUUUCCAUCCUCGUGGCUUUAUUUAGUCCAAUCCUUCCAAGUCAUGCAAAACUCCUCUGAAUCUAGCGUUGUCAAAGAAGACAUGCACUAAAAUGGAUGUUGACGGAUUGGACUAAAAGUGAAACAAACCAAGACUACAAGACAAAAAUGCAAGAAAAAAAAUUACGUGGAGGACAGUGAACCGAGGAAACUAUUAAUGCAAUUGGCCUAAUUUCGAUAAAUGACACAAAACUUUGGUUAUUCCAUGUACGCGGAACACUAUUACGUAGUAUUAUUAUUACAUUUAAAUUAUAACAUGUGAUGGAUUGGACUAAAACCAAAACAAACCAAGACUACAAAUGAUAAAAAAAACUACGUGGAGGAAAGUGAAUCCGGAGAGACUAUUAGUGCAAUUUGGCCUACUUUCGAAAAAUGGCACAAAACUUUGAGUGGUUUUUUCAUGCGCGCAGAGGAAAGUGAAUCCAGAGAGACUAUAAGUGUAAUUUGGCCUACUUUCGAAAAAUGGUACAAAAUUUGUGCAAUUUGGCCUAAUUUUUUUUCAUGUACACGGACCACCGUCAUGUGGUAUUAUUAUUACACUUAAAAUAUAACACGUGAAAUGAUAACACCACGUAACAAUGUUUCUGGUGCAAAUUUGCCUCCAACUCCAAGGCUUAUGAUAGAUAAACUAACCUACGUCCUUAUCACCCCCAAGAUUUCUUCUGGAACACAAAGCUAUAAGUAGAACAAAUCAGCGGAUCAGACUCCUCUCACAAAACGCUGACGUUUAACCCUAAUCCAGUUGGUUGGCAAGUGCAUGAUAGACCGUUAUUUCAGGUACAUGCCAAGCCUAACAACCGCCAUUUUUCUCCAAACCAAAUUUUCUUGCAUGUUUCCAUGUAUAGCCAGCAAAAUUCCACCACCCAAAAUUUAAAACCUUGCUUCGGAAAACCUUGCCCUCUCCUUCUUUUAGACAGUUCACACACCAACACACAGCGAAAGGUCGUGAUCUCGGAACGGUUUCGUGCUCCGCCAAGGUCAUGAUCUUAAGCACUUUUGAGAAGGAAGCACUUUUGACUCCAUUGUCGUGCUCUCUCUCUUGUUUCCGAACGAAUUCAGAUAGAGAGUAGGCCGGCAUUUGUUUGUUUUAUGGUUGUUUUCGUGUUGGAACAGCGAAAAAACCAGUAUGACGAAGCGAUCUUUUACUCGUUAUGUUGAGCAAGAGCUGGGGAGGGUGCCGCAUUUUGUGAUCUACGCUUUGCUCGAAUGGACGCUGAUCAUUCUGCUCUUCGCUGAUGGGUUCCUUGCGUUUGUUGCCAACGAAUUUGCCAAGUUCUUCGAGCUGCAAAUCCCGUGCUGGCUCUGCACCAGAAUCGAUCACAUUCUGGUUCAUAGGGACCAGGGUUUCUAUUACAAUGACUCCAUUUGUGAGGGUCAUAGGAAAGAUGUUUCGCNNNNNNNNNNNNNNNNNNNNNNNNNNNNNNNNNNNNNNNNNNNNNNNNNNNNNNNNNNNNNNNNNNNNNNNNNNNNNNNNNNNNNNNNNNNNNNNNNNNNNNNNNNNNNNNNNNNNNNNNNNNNNNNNNNNNNNNNNNNNNNNNNNNNNNNNNNNNNNNNNNNNNNNNNNNNNNNNNNNNNNNNNNNNNNNNNNNNNNNNNNNNNNNNNNNNNNNNNNNNNNNNNNNNNNNNNNNNNNNNNNNNNNNNNNNNNNNNNNNNNNNNNNNNNNNNNNNNNNNNNNNNNNNNNNNNNNNNNNNNNNNNNNNNNNNNNNNNNNNNNNNNNNNNNNNNNNNNNNNNNNNNNNNNNNNNNNNNNNNNNNNNNNNNNNNNNNNNNNNNNNNNNNNNNNNNNNNNNNNNNNNNNNNNNNNNNNNNNNNNNNNNNNNNNNNNNNNNNNNNNNNNNNNNNNNNNNNNNNNNNNNNNNNNNNNNNNNNNNNNNNNNNNNNNNNNNNNNNNNNGACCAAUAUUUCUGUGACAUCUGCUCAACAAACAUGGACGGAAACCGUGCUUUGUAUUGUUGUCAUGAUCAUGAAUGUCGUGAUUAUGCUGCCCACUGUAAAUGCUUAAGAAAAGAGGGGAUAAUCAUGAACGUCCUUGUCGAUGAUAAUGAUGAUGAUGCACCAUCCACAUCCAGAUGUCCCCCUGCUAAUGAGACCACCGCUGAUGAUAAACCCUUGCAGAUCGAGCACUUCAGUCAUCCACACAUGUUAACCCUCAUCGAUAGCCAAGAGGUGGCUAGACAAGACGACCAAGAUGAAGGAAUUACUUGUAACGGUUGCACGCUACCCAUCAUGAGGGGUGAGUCUUAUAGGUCAUGCACAGAACAAGCAAUAGAAAAGCCAUGUAAUUUCUCUCUCUCCACAUAAAUUGUGCUAAAUUACCCCGAAAGAGGCUUCUCCCACUUCACGAACACGAGCUCACACUCCUUCCAACAGCAUCUUCUGUCGGUGACGUUUUUGAGUGUGACAUGUGCAAGUCCUUGAGCCAAGGUUUCUCAUUCCAUUGUGAAGAUAGCGACUUCAAACUAGACCUCUAUUGCAAUAUUCUUUAUGAGCGUAAGCCUCUCCGUUGUGAUGCUCAUGUUCACACACACUCCAGUUCAGCACAGAGCUCGUGUCCUGCAGCAGUUAUGGUACUCGUGAAAGGAUUUCUGCUUCAGAUGUGGCCGUAAGAGAUGCGACUUCCAGCUGUGUAUUCUGUGUGUUAAAUUACCUCUUUACGGUUAGGUACAAUUACGACGAUCAUCCUCUCAAACUCACUUAUGCUAGUGUUAAAAAAUGAGCUCGAUGAGUACUAUUGUGACAUAUGCGAAGGAAAACGAGAUCCAAAACAUUGGUUCUACUCCUGCCUGGAUUGUGACUUUGAAUGUCAUACUCAUUGCAUUAGAGGGAGGUAUCCGCAAGUCAAGUUAGGGGGCUCUUACAAGCAUCAUGAUCACCAGCACGACGUCGCCCUUGUUUAUAAGAGAAAAGGCAAGAUUCCUAAUGAUAAGAGAGAGCGCUUACUUCCUUGUUCCAAGUGUUCUAUGAUUUGCAAAGGAUUGGUUUGUGAAUGUUUGGUGUGUGGUAUUAAUAUGCACCUAAGGCAUAUAAGAAAGCAAAAGCAUAUAAAAUUUCUAUAUUUUGAAAUCUUGCUUUUCAUUGUUUGCGAUAGGCCUGGCAAUCGGGUCGUGUCAGUCGUGUUCGUGUCGUUUUCGUGUAACACCUGUUAGCUUAACGGGUCGUGUCGUGUCACACCCGUUAUCUUAACGGGUCCUUAACAGGUCGGGUCACUUUACCCGUUGGGUAAAGUGACCCGACCCGACCCGUUAUGACCCGUUAUGACCCGUUAAGAAAAAUAUUUUUUUUUUCUUAAACUUGCACAUACUACAUAUUGUCACAUAAAUAUUACUUUAAAACAUUAAAACGCAUUUGUUGUUUAAAUACUACAUCAACACUCGAAAAUAAGAGUAAUAAAAAAAAUCCACACAUUACUAAUCUAUUACAAAUAUUAAAUAUGCAAGGAUAUGCAAAAUGAAAGCGUUUUUGUUUUCAAGGUUGUGAAGUCUUUUUCAAAAGUUUAAACCUUGUCAAUGGAACUCAAAGCUUGCAUGCUAUUCAUUUUACAAAAUCCUCAAUUUACGUCGAUCAUCAUGAGGAAGUUGCAUUGGAACUUUGGCUUGAUCUAUUGCCUUCUUCAAGAGUUAUGUUUGAUAAUGUUUUCAGUAAGAUUUUCCAUGUCAGAACUCUCUUCCGCAUAAACUAAAUAUAGAAAAACCAAACAUUAAAAAUCAUUCAAAUUAUAAGAAAUUUACCAAAAUAAUUAUGAAAAGAAAUAAAACAAUAGUACUAUACCAUAUAAAAAUAUAUUACCUCCUUUUCCAAAUAGCCAAUCUCGUGUGCACAACAAAGCUUGAACUGUUUCUGGUAACAAUGAACUACGAUACUGAUCUAGUACUCUACCCCCAAUACUAAAUGCAGAUUCUGAUGCAACAGUUGAAAUGGGAAUUGUUAACACAUCUCGUGCUAACUGAGAAAGUAUCGGAUAAUGAAAACGCUCCAUUUGCCACCAAGAAAGAACAUCUAUGUCUACUUUUUCUAUCUAUUCUUUUAUCCUCCAAAUACUUCUGCAAUUCAGUUUUUUCAAUCGAACUUGAACCAUCGUAAUUAUUAUCAAAAUCCUACAUCAUAAAAAAUCAUGCAUCAUGUUAAUUUCAAAUAUAAUAUCAACACUUUUUAUACUACUACUACAAUCUACAAAUAUAUAAAGUAAAUAAAAAUAAACUUAGGUUACCUCAAAGAGAACAUCUACAGAUUCUGUUUGAUGAUUAGGCACUGAAUUCCUUGGAGUAUUUGAAUUAUCAAGAUGUGAAAGUUUUUCCAAGUACACACCAAAAAGAACAUUCAAUUUGUCAUUCACCUUUGUAAAUUCGACCGAAUUCACACCAUGAAGCUUUGUGUAAGCCCAAUCCACAAAAUUCAAUUUAUAACGAGGGUCUAAGAUGAUUGCAAUUGCCAAAAUCAAACUAUACUCUGACCAAUACUUCUCAAACUUCAUGUACAUGUAAGUCGCCAUCUUAUUCAUGAAACUUUCAGAGGCAUCCAUGGCUGCCUUAAUUUGAAGUUGGAUUACGAACACCUUAGGGAAGAACAAAUUUGAUGUAGGGUACUUUGUCCCAGAGAAUAAGCACGUAACCUCAUAAAAGUACUCCAAAAACUUGGAAAUCUUCAUUAUUUUAUCCCACUCUUCAGAAGAAGGACAAGUAUUAAAAUUGGAAUCACUCAACCCUAAAUGAAUCAAAGCAUAUCGAUAGAAAAUUGCAUUAUCUAGCAUAAUGUAGGUUGAGUUCCAUCUAGUAGGGACAUCUUGUCUCAAACCUCUCCUACUAUCCAAUAUCCCCACUUGUCUAACACAUUCAUAAAACUUUAGUUUUCUAGCCUCAGAGCCCUUUAUAUACUUGACGCAUUCACGAAUCUUUAUCACCGAAGAAUCAAUUUCUUUAAGUCCAUCUUGAACUAUCAAAUUCAAGACAUGAGCACAACAACGCACAUGAAAGAAGUCACCAUUCAUCACGAGAAGACUUCUGAGAUUCAAUUGAUUCUUCAAAAUGCUAACAAAAGAAAUAUUUGAAGAAACAUUAUCCAAAGUAAUAGAAAAUAACUUCUUCUCAAUUCCCCACUCAGUCACCAAUGCAUUAAUUUUCUCAGAUAAUGCAACACCAGUAUGAGGAGGAGGCAUGUGACAAAAACUUAAAAUUCUCUUAUGCAAUUUCCAAUCUUUGUCUACAAAGUGAGCAGUAAGAGCAAGAUACCCAUCAGUGCAUUGCGAGGUCCAUAAGUCUGAUGUCAAACAAAUUCUACCUUCAACCGAGUCUAGCAAAUUAUGAAGCCUUUGUUUUUCAUUUUUGAACAUCCUUAACACACAGGCUUUAAUUGUAUUUCUACACGGUAACUUAAUAUCAGGAGAUAUAUAUGCAAACAAAGCCCUAAUUCCCUCAUAUUCAGAAAAACUAAAAGGAAGAUUAUGCUUGAUGAUGGCCUCUACCAAUAAACCACGAAAUACCACCGGAUCAAAGUUUUGGGAACAGAAUUCAGACACCGACAAUCCAACAGUCUGUCCAGGGCAUGUUUUCAAAUGUCUAUUCAUAUUACCCGUCCCAUGAUGACUAUCAUCUAUUACCAGUUUCUUACAAUCUUUACAUUGAGCACGACUUUUACCAUCUUCAAAAAUAGUAGUCAAUUUGUUGAAAGUUUUCCAAACAGGAGACCUGAGUGUUCGCUUACCUAAUUUGAUCACUCUAGCCUUUUUCUUUGCCGGACUUGUAUUUGUAUCUUCCAUAUUUUCACUUCCAUGAUCAGGUUGUAUUCCCAUUGUCACUUCCACUGAUCCUCCAUCACUAAGGUUCGUAAAAUCUUGCUCUACAACAUCCAUUGCUUCAAGAAAGAAAAACAAAACUAUAAAAUCUUGCUCAUACCAAUUUCAUACCAUAUCUCUAUUUCAAAUUCACUUAUCCAUUUCAAUUUCAAAUAGAUCAGCACAUAGAUCAACAAAUAGAUCAUCAUUUCAUUUCAAUUUCAAUUUCAAAUUCAUACAUCCAUUUCAAAUUCAUACAUCAACAAAUAAUACUAUUUUUGUUUUUGCAUUAAUCCAUAUAAUAUAAGGCAUAACGGAUGCAAAGUUAACCAAAAAAUGAUGAAUAGCUAGCCACUGUGAAAAUGAUGCAAAGUUAACUAUAAGAUAAUGAUUAGGGUUAUCCCCAUCAACUCAACACCUCUCCAUUUCUUUCCAAUAAUUCAUCCAAUUCAGAAACCCUCCUCACCAACCCUUCUAUUUCUAUACAAAAAGAUGAAUUGUUAACCAUUGCGAAAACAUGUGGUUAUCAGAUAACAAUACGGGUGUUGGACAAAGGGCAUGAACUUCAAAGCUUUCCCCAUCAUAGCCUCAUUUAGAUGUGUUUGAUAUAUAUGGUUCUGUCUUUUUAACACACAUUUAGAAACCUUAAUUUCAGAAAAUCGUAAUUCCUGUGAUUAUUAUUUAUAUCAAUUAGCAAAUACCAAAUAGAUCAGCAAAUUCAGCACAACAAACUGAGAGCAAAGAAAUCAUGAAGCAAAUUAACCUUCUCCAAAAGCCCUAAUUUAGAAACCCUAAUUUCAAAAAUUCAUAAUUCCAAAAGUCCUAAUUCAGAAACCCUUGAGUUCAUUGUAGGAAUUUUUUACCUUGUGCAGUGAGGUGAGGAGUGCGGACUGAGAUCGAGAGCUCGAUUCAGGAGCCGUAUUUGGGUGGUACUGGUAUGGAGUCCGGAGUCUGGAAUCUGGACAGUAUGUGAACCAGUGAAGUCGCGAUUUAGGUGAUGACUGAGGACUGACAGAGUGACUGAGUGAGGGGUGACGGUCUGGGUGAGGUCGAGGACGAUGAGGAGGGUGAUCCGGUGAGGUCACUGAGACUGAGGUGAGGGUGACUCGGUGACGGUGAGGCGCCGCGUGAGGUCGAUCGAGAGAGAGACAGAAAGAAUGAUUUGAGUUUCUGAUUUGAGAAAGAAUAGAAGGAUAGCCUACAAUGGACGGCUGAGAUUAAAUCUCAGCCGAUCCAAUGGUCAUCAAUUUUUUAAAAUUUAAUUUAAUAUAUAUAUAUAUAUAUAAUUAUUAUAGUUUUUAGGGGUAUAAAAUUUUGUGGCAUCCAUCUACUAGUGUAAAUAUUUUAAAUUGAAGAUCGAAUUCAUUCAUUGUAUUCAUAUAGGGUCAAGGAGUGUAGUUGUAAAAAAUCAUCAAAAUCGGAGUUAAAAAUAACCGUUAAAUCGUGAUUUUUUGUUUAUAACCGUCGAAACGUUUUGUCUUGUUCCUUGAUCUCUGAAUGUUUUUUUUUUGCAAUUUUUGGCGUACUUGAUCUCAAAGUAUAUACAAACAUGUUUUGACGGUUGGAUCGUUGAAAUUAGUUUCGUAGAAUAUGUAUCCCAUCAAAACAAUAGAUUCACUAACACUUAAGAGUUUAUUCAUACUUUCAUCAAGUAUAACAUAAGAUUUUUGUGGUAUCCACUAGUGUAAAUAUUUUAAAUUGAAGAUCGAAUUCAUUCAUUAUAUUCAUAUAGGGUCAAGGAGUGUAGUUGUAAAAAAUCAUCAAAAUCGGAGUUAAAAUAACCGUUAAAUCGUGAUUUUUUUGUUUAUAACCGUCGAAACGUUUUGUCUUGUUCCUUGAUCUCUGAAUGUUUUUUUUUUGCAAUUUUUGGCGUACUUGAUCUCAAAGUAUAUACAAACAUGUUUGACGGUUGGAUUGUUGAAAUUAGUUUCGUAGAAUACGUAUCCCAUCAAAACAAUAGAUUUACUAACACUUAAGAGUUUAUUCAUACUUUCAUCAAGUAUAACAUAAGAUUUUGUGGUAUACACUAGUGUAAAUAUUUUAAAUUGAAGAUCGAAUUCAUUCAUUGUAUUCAUAUAGGGUCAAGGUGUGUAGUUGUAAAAAAUCAUCAAAAUCAGAGUUAAAAUAACCGUUAAAUCGUGAUUUUUUGUUUAUAAUCGUCGAAAAGUUUUGUCUUGUUACAUGAUCUCUGAAUGUUUGUUUUUUGUAAUUUUUGGCGUAUGAGAUCUCGAAGUAUAUACAAACAUGUUUGACGGUUGGAUCGUUGAAAUUAGUUUCGUAGAAUAUGUAUCCCAUCAAAACAAUAGAUUCACUAACACUUAAGAGUUUAUUCAUACUUUCAUCAAAUAUAACAUAAGAUUUUGCGGUAUCCACUAGUGUAAAUAUUUUAAAUUGAAGAUCAAAUUCAUUCAUUGUAUUCAUAUAGGGUCAAGGAGUGUAGUUGUAAAAAAAUCAUCAAAAUCGGAGUUAAAAUAACCGUUAAAUCGUGAUUUUUUUGUUUAUAACCGUCAAAACGUUUUGUCUUGUUCCUUGAUCUCUGAAUGUUUUUUUUUUUGCAAUUUUUGGCGUACUUGAUCUCAAAGUAUAUACAAACAUGUUUGACGGUUGGAUCGUUGAAAUUAGUUUCGUAUAAUUCGUAUCCCAAGAAGUUCAAUGGUGUGUGUGUUACGUAUAUAUAUAUAUGUUAAGUAGAUUUAAAUCUAUUUAUUUUGUAUGUAUAAUUAUUAUAGUUUUUAGGGGUAUAAAAUUUAAUAUAUAUAUAUAAUUAUUAUAGUUAAUAUUUUGGGGGUAUAAUUAUUAUAGUAUAUAUAAAAUUAUAAUUAUUAUAAUUAUUAUAGCUAAUCUAAUAUAUAUAUUUUGGGGGUAUAAUUAUUAUAGUAUAUAUAAUUAUUAUAAUUAUUAUAGUUAAUCUAAUAUAUAUAUAUAUAUAUAUAAUUAUUAUAGUUCUUAGGGUAUAAAAUUGUUAAAUUAAUAUAUAUAAUUAUUAUAGUAUUUUUUAGGGUUAUAAAAUUAUUAAAUUAAUAUUCUGCUUAUCGUGUAUCGUGUUACUCACGUGUAUACCCGAACCAACCCGUUAUCUUAACAGGUGCUUAUCGGGUUACCCGAUAACGACCCGUUUCGUUAUCGUGUCGACUCGAACACCUGUUAAUUUCGUGUCGUGUCGUGUCGGAUUAUCGGGUCGUGUCAGGAAUUGCCAGGCCUAGUUUGCGAGCAUAUCAGAAUGUGUGUAAGCGUGUGCUCGUGCGCGUGUUUGUGAAUAUGACCACUCUUUAUCAAGGACCAUAAACCACGGCGGAAGAAAACAAACAAUUGUCUAAACAACCUACAUUUGUUUUGCUGUGAUAAGUAAAAAGGACAACAGCAUAUAUUCACAGAGAUGACUGUUAUCAAGCUUAAAGGGAACGACAUCCAUGACUCAGCACGGGAACACAUAAUUACAUAGACUUAAUAAAAUUAAAAUAAAAUCUGUUAACCCUUAAACUCACCUGAUUUUCCUUUGUGGAGUAUUUGAGUAUCCUCAGCUAUCAAUUGCGACAAAGUGUCAACACUAACCUUCUGCCAACAUGUGCAUAAGAAGUCAGAGUAAGACAUUAUUCAUUUGCUGUGAGAGAGAGAGAGAGAGAGAGAGAGAGAGAGAGAGUUCAGAUGAUACCAUGGAAAACCAUUACAUAGGCCACAUCUCUAGUUCACAUAUCUAAAUUGUGAAUUCAUUGAAUGAUGAAUGAUGUUGUAUAUGAAGCUACAAAUAUACGACAAGCAAUAAUGAUAGAUAAAUUCAUCUAUAUUGGUUUAUUAAAGUUGGUCAAACAUACCUUUUGUUUUGAUCGGGAUUUAGUUUGGUAGUUUCAUUCUAAUUUCCAUAGUUUAUAAUAGUUAACCAACUAAAAGUGCUUUCUUUUGAUUACUAUCUAAUAUAUUUUGGCCAGUUGGCAAUCCUACUAGAUUUACUUAGGCGCACAUCAAAAAUGUGUAUUAUACAUGUACAUAAGAUAUAAUGCUAAAUAUCUUUUUAUAGUUGUCUCAUAUUACAUAAAAAGAGUUAAAGUACUCUCUCUCUCUUUGCUUGAAAACUAUGUAUCCAUUUCAUCAUGCAUUUUUUGGUGAAGCUACUAUGUUUUUGUAAUUUUUUUUUAUAUUGAGGAGGAAUAGAGGCUAAAGUACCUCCAAUUUGUUCAAGAGGCUUUAGCUCAUGCCACAGUUUGCUUCACAUACCUCUAUUGUUAGCUUCCAUACAAUAUGUUGUGUGUUUCGUUGCUGCAAGUUUGUAAUUUUACUUGCUACUUGAUUAUAAAAAUGUAAAACAAAAUCCGUCUGUGAUUACAAAUUUGUAUUCAAGUUUAGACGUUUUUCUAGUGUAAGACAUAUGUUGCAUAGGCAUGUAAAUGGUACAAAUUGUUUCUGGUUUUGGACAAUAAGCUUUUGAGUUUUACUAUCCUUGCAAGAGGACUGUGACUCAAGCGAACAAAUUUAGUGUUUGGGGAAUAGAGUUUGGUUCUCUUUAAUACAUAAUUUAACAAAGGCCUACAAAUUUUCCUUGAAGGAAUAUGCAAAUGUGUUCUCCGCAACUUGGCCUGCAGUUUAUGUGAAGGGGCAUUAAUGUGUGUUAUUUGCUUUCGUAAAAUGUGUGUUAUCUGCAUUGGUGCAUUUGAGGGUGUGAUUACCUUCCUACCAAAUGCGAUGGCAAGUGCCUUCGCCCAUAAGCGGUAGGUCUCGGGUUCGAGACUUGGGAGUAGCCUCUCCAUAAAUGGGGGUAAGGCUAGCCGACAUUCACCUCUCCCAGACCCUGCGUAAAGCGGGAGCCUUGUGCACUGGGUACGACAUUUUUUUAUUGUGACUAAUACAUUCAAUGCCCGUAACGAAGUGCGAACAGAUUUUCUAGUAUGUUCUAAUGUAUAGAACAAAAUUCAUGUCCUCAGAUUAAUUUUUUGAAAAUAUAUAUUACAGUAAACAGUGAAGCCAUGUCUUGACUAGUAUAUAUCAAACACGCUCACGGUUUGCAAAAGACAGACCGUUUGACCAUUUCAUAUGAUUAUUCAAAUUAGUCACUUUUACUUAACUUGUGCACGUACAAGAUUAUGGUUCGGUUCUUUGCACCAGAAGAAACCAAUGCAAACCAGAGCAGAAAAGCAUGAAAACACAUAAUUACUUUAUGUGCAGAACGUACCCAGAUGUAUUUCUACCAAAAGUAAAAUUCAUAAAUAACUUAGUUGACAUACAAGAUCUACCCCAAUCAAACAAACAGUUGUUCAUGCCAAGCAUUGAAACCUUUUUGUAUGAAUGAUUUGAUUCCAAAUUUCAACCAAAAGUUAUAACUGCACCACCGCGCGCACGCCACACUGAAAAGGUAUAUACGGCCGGGCAGUGUAGAAAAUCUCAUCUCAAUGUGAUAAAACCUUAACAGUUAAUAAGUUCCAAACCAUUUGACAUCAUCAAUAUCUCAUAUUAGAGAAACGCCCUUCUUCCAAAUGAUGGCCAGAUUUGUCAUCUUAUGAUGUCAAUUUUUCUUCUCUUUGAUUUUUUCACAUAAUUUUCUAAUUGUCCCAUAAAAAAUUUGUCUUUAGAUUGUUAGAGUAAUAUUUGAAAAUACGAAAAUAAUACAAGAAUUUCAAUGAUAAUAAUCAUAAUGAAAAUUGUUGAUGCACAAAAUCAGUAGGGACUUUGGUACAACAGAAAAUGUUAAGUUUGUGACAUUCGCUAGAUUGAUCCGGUCGCUAGUGUGGAUAAGUAUGUAAAUGGAUAGAGACAGGGAAGCAAACACAAGAUGUAAGUGGUUCACCUAGAUUGGCUACGUCCACGGAGUAGAAGAGUUCUCAUUAAUUGUGAAGGGUUUACACAAGUACAUAGGUUCAAGCUCUCAUUUAGUGAGUACAAGUGAAUGAUUUAGUACAAAUGACAUUCGGAAAUAUUGUGGGAGAAUGAUCUCCUUUUAUAGAAGAGAGUUUUUAGUUUUGUUUUGACAUUGACACGUGUUGUGUUGUGAUUGGCUUUUGAUGUUGACACAUGUCGCGCUAUGAUUGGCUUCUUGAUGUCGACACGUGUCGCGCUGUGAUUGGCCUCUUAGUUGAAAGGAAAACUCUUAUGGGUCCUUGAUGGUAUAAACGUUGACCAGUGCUCGGUAGUUUCGAGAUUGGUCAAGUAUGGUACAAACAAAAAUAACAACAUAAAUUGUAUACAAGAUUAAUAUAAACAACAGAGAAAGGAAGAAAUGCUGACAAACUUGGAGAUUGAGACUUGCAUGAAUGCAAUGUCCUAAAGACAGAAUUUCGCCCAUACUCGUAGUUCGGUAGGCGUUUGUCUCCCAGAAUUUAACAAUAUAUAAUCCAAAGUUGAAGCACUUUAAAAUCUUUGAACCCUGGUGGAAAUAGAGAGGGGAAACCCCCCGUUUCUCAAGAGUAAGAAUCUAUUUUGUUUUUGUAUGCAUUAGACAGGUGGGAUGCUUGAGUUUAUAGAAUUUGAGCCAUCCAUUUUGAAACAUUUGAUUGUUGAUUAAAGUUCCAAUUAACCGAUGCAACUCAUGAAUUUGAAUUCAAUUAUAACACUUGACUCUUUAUUUUCAUUAAAAAAUUAAAUAAAUAUUAUAAAUUAAUUUCCAACGAACAAUAAGUUUGUUAGUAUUUCUUACUUUCUCUGUUGUUUAUAUUAAUCUUGUAUACAAUUUAAAUUUAUGUUGUAAUUUUCAUUAUGAUUAUUAUCAUUAAAAUUCUUGUAUUAUUUUCAUAUUUUUUUAAUAUUGCUCCAACACUGCAUAGUAUAAUCUCUGUAAAAUAACCUUAUAAAUGAAGUUAAAUAUUUUGUCACAAGAAAAGGAAAAUUCAAUGAUCUAAACCAGAAUUAUUAAAGGUUAACAAAUUAUUAGAAUCUUUUAUUUUUCGUGAAAUGCAAGCUAUCAAAUUAUACAUGACGAGAUAAAGAAAUAAACAUGGCCUAGUCAUCAAGGAUUCUUAGUGUAAUACCCUGAAAAUUUAAAAUACAUGGUUAUGUGGAGUAAAUCGAGAAUAAAUGAUUUAUGGUUAUGAAAAAUUUAAUUAAGAACUUUUAAAGUUUGUUUUCAGAAAUUAUUAUAAUUUACAACGUAAAAUUUAUUGAUAAGUGAAAAGAUCAAAAUGCCCGUAAGGAGAUGUGUCCUUUCGUCGUCGCACGACAUAUAAUUUGUAUAUUGAAUAAUGUUCGUUGGGCUUAAUCGGAACGACGAAGAAGUGCGGAUUUUUUAUCUUUUAGGUGAUGGGCAAUAUAAGUAAAUUGGGAAAAAAAAACAGGAGAUUGUUCUAGAAGGGAGGAGACCAUUUUCUUCUUCCGUGGCCGGGGGGGGGUUGGAUGAUCGAAGGAAAAAAAAGGGAGGGGUUGUUCUUGUUUCCGUUUUGGCUCUCCCCUAAACACAAAUUUUAUAACCUUUCUGUUUCUCUUAAUUAAUCUCCGAUUUUUGACAACUUAACUUCUUCUCAAGUCCUCGUCGAGCCCUACGUUUGUAACCCACCAAUCCGAUUUUGCCAGAAAUCACCAAACAAGGCAGAAGUUGUAGCUUUGUUUACAGGGACUGACUAAUCAGUGUCUCCUACAACUGUGCCGCCGCCUUUUUUCUAAAAUCUUUCAAAUGGGUGCUUGGAAAAGAUAACCCAAAACUAUAGAAGAAUCUGCAUGCCACAUGAGUAUAACACUUAUUGCCGUCUAAGUUAAUGUCUCCAUUUGCAGUUGGCAAGGAAUCCAGAGAAGGUAAAAUUGCAAUGAGCAUCAAAAAAUUCAGGUGCAAAUCUAAAGUUCCUGUCUUAGGCUUUGUUUUAUGAAUCGAUUUAAGUAUUUUAAAUAAUAAGAUGCGUGACAAAGUAAUUGCAACCAAUCCUUGACCCUUUCCUCAAUAGAUUAAGUAUGAUUAUUAUAUUAUUAUUAGCUUAACCUUCUAAACCUUUUAUGUAACUCUCGUAAAGCUUUUGAUUGUUGCUCUAAUAAAAAAAAAAGAGUUGAAAGUCUGAACGAUUUAACCUUUGUCUUUUUUUUUUUUAAAUUAAAAAAAGUUUGAUUGCCUAAAUAAUUUGGAGAAGGAUACUAAAUGUUUUUAAAUUAAAUUAUUUAUUUUUAUUGCAAAAAAAAAAAAAGAACAAAUUCAAAGUUCCAUAACUAUAAAUCCAAAUUUAUGGCAAAAAACUAAGUUGUAAUUCAAAAUAAAUGAAUUUGAUAUUGGUUUUUAAGUUUCUUUUAAAUAAUGAAAUACAAACCCUAUCGACUGAUACGGGCGAAAUUUUUUGUGACGGUAACCAAGUCUUGUGGUGAUGUUUAAAACUUAUUUCAGACCAAACUUUCCUCUAGGCCAAUGAAAAAGAAAUAUUGCUUUUCAACAAAAAAAAACCCGUUUUUUAAGAAAAAAAUUCUUUGGGCAUUUGAGUUUUUUUUUUCAAAUUUUAAAAUCAAUUUCACAACAUUCUGGGUUUAAGCCUUUUCGAAAAGAAAGGUAUGACCAGAUUAAACAUUCAAACUUGCAUUUGAAAAAGAAAAUGAAUCUGACUGGUGAAACUUUCUCUCCCCAUCUUUUUCCUCUUUAAACGUCUCCUUUUUCUCCGAACAUGUUGCUUCCACCCCACAUAUUUGCAUUGCUUUGGUUUCCCAUCACCCACUUUUAACCUCUCCAAACUAUCUACUUCGUCCCACACAAGCACACUCCCCCACCACGAACAUUCCUUCUACUUUUCAAGGUCAUAGUUUAAUGAUGGCCCACGAGUUAAAACUUUUAGCCGUACAUAUGGCCACGGAAACCAACCGCGAGUCAAGCUUGGUUCGAUUUUCCCCCGCCCCUUUUCUGUGGAAAAACGAAACAACGGCAACGAAAAGCAUAAGACUUGGUAUUGAGGAAGUUAAGAAGAUUUGAAAAUUGUGCAUAAAACCGGCCAAAACCCAAUUCCGGCAAGUUUUUCGGAACUCCGGCGAGCCUUUCUGGCCAAACGGCAAACAACCGAGGCUCGAGACCACCACCAUUGGACUCGCCUCGAGUUUGAGAGCAAAGCCCAGUAUUCCAAUCGAAGGUCAAUGCACGCACGAUGGCGAACGGUGAAGAAUUCCGACGAAUUCUGCAGGAACUGGUGAGUUUUAUGCAACUGAGCUCGACUAGGCGGUUCAGUUGCCCGCUUGACGAGGCUUACGACUCCGGCGUCGAGGCAUAUUGGUAUCUCCGAAUCCUCCCUACGAACUUUUUCUCCUUUCUCUUUGUAAUUGAACUUUUAAAUAAUAUUUCUUCAUGUUGUAUUCUUGAUUCGUAUGAUUCUUAUUUUUUUAAUAUUUUAAAAACAUAUUUUAUUUAUUAUUAAUUUAUCGAUGCAAGUUUGCAUCCAUGUAGAUUUUAGUUGUUAUCAUAUUAGUUGGUAAUAUCUACUGAAUUAAGUAGUACUUCAUGCAUUAGAUAAAGAGAUGGAUCCGAGAAUUCACGAACAUUCAUUGACUUUCAAGGAAGAGAAGGAGAAUGAUGGUCCACCGCAGUUCUGUAAGGGUGCGUUUGGUACGUGGGAUGGGACGGAACAGAGUGGGACGGAACCGUUCCGUCCCACGUUUGGUGCCUUAAAAUUGUGUGGAACACGCGUCCCACGGAACGAAAAAGGGUCAGAUUUUGGUUCCCCCUCCCCCCCCUGGAACAGGUUUUUCCAUCCCGUGGGACACAAUUUUUUUUUUUUUGGACAACAAUACCCUUUUAUUUUUUUUCAUUAAUUACAUUGUCUACCUCCCUUCUCUCCCGUAACCUCCCUCUGUUCUACCACAAAUCCAGUAACCCAAUCCCUUCUUUCCCGUAACCUCCCUCUUCAUCCACCACAAACCCAGUAACCCAAUCCCAGCAAACCCAUCCGACGACGACGACGUCACCACCGUCACCAGCAAACCCCUCUUCUUCUCCGGCGUCGUCACCCGUCACCAGCAAACCCUCUUCUUCUCCGGCGCCGUCACCAUGGAGCCGUCACCAGCAACCCCUCUUCUUCUCCGGCGCCGUCACCAUAGCCAGGCCGACGACGACGACGACGAUGCACGAAGGAUGAUGACGACGCUGCAGGGAAGACGCUGCAGGCCGCGACGACGACGACGACGGACGGAUGACGACGCUGCAGGGAAGACGAUGACGACGCUGCAGGGAAGACGAUGACGAUGCUGCAGGGAGGACGAUGACGAAGCUGCAGAAAUUGAUUGAAAUGAAUUUUGGGAUUUUUCUGUGUUUGAUUUUGGGAUUUUUCUGUUUUUUUCUUCUUGUAAUUGUUUGCUGGUGACGAGAUCUGAAAUUGAUUGGAGGGUUUGCUGGUGACGAGAUCUGAAACUGGAUUGGUUGCCGAGAAAACGAAGGAAAACGAAAACUGGGGUCUGAUUGUUUGAGUUCAUACUCGCACUCAGCAAUUGUACAAACAAGGCUAAGUUAGUCAUUUAACACGAAAUCCAAACCGUUCCGUCCUACGCGUACCAAACAUAACACGAACCUCCGUUUCGUUCCGUCCCGUUCCGUCCCGUCCCGUUCCGUUCCGUCUGCGUACCAAACGCACCCUAAGGGAUGCCUGGAACCAUUGUUUGGGCCUCACUAUACUUGCGACACGUGCGAUAAGUGGUCCACUGGCUACAAGUUCAAUAUACAUAAAUCAUGUGCGGAGUUGCCCAUUGAGAUCCGCCACCCGAUCCACCCCAAUCACCCUCUUAUUCUCGAGGAAAACUACGGCUACACAUGUGGUGUCUGUAACUGUGACCAGUCACGUCGAAGUGCAUACAUUCUAUCUUACUGUUGUUCUGAAUGCGACUUCUCUAUACACGUCAAAUGUGCUUCCAAUUGGCAAAACGUCGGUCAUGAGCACAACUUCACCAUCCUCAUGCAGCCCAUUCAAUUCACUUGCGGUGUCUGUGGCCUAGUUGGUGAGUAUGACAAACAAAACUUCUACCUCUGCAACAUCUGCCAGCUCCUUGUCCAUGCCAAAUGCUCUUGGUUACCACUCCAAGUCAAAAUAGAACGGCACCAACAUCGCCUCAAGCUUACCUGGUGGUUCCAUGACAUGUACCCCAAAGACCAAGAUUUCUGUGACAUUUGCUCAGAAAAAAUGGACGGAAACCGUGCUAUUUAUUGUUGUCAUGAUCAUGAAUGUCGUGGUUAUACUGCCCACUGUAAAUGCAUAAGAAAAGAGGGGAAAUUCAAGAACAUCCUCGUCAAUGAUGAUGAUGAUGAUGAACCAUCCACAUCUAGACGUCCCCCAACCGAUGAGACCACCGCUGAUGAUAAACCCUUGCAGAUCGAGCACUUCAGUCAUCCACACAUGUUAACCCUCAUCGAUGGCCAAGAGGUGGCUAGACAAGACGGCCAAGAUGAAGGAAUUACUUGUAACGGUUGCACGCUACCCAUCAUGAGGGGUGAGUCUUAUAGGUCAUGCACAGAACAAGCAAUAGAAAAGCCAUGUAAUUUCUCUCUCCACAUAAAUUGUGCUAAAUUACCCCGAAAGAGGCUUCUCCCACUUCACGAACACGAGCUCACACUCCUUCCAACAGCAUCUUCUGUCGGUGGCGUUUUUGAGUGUGACAUGUGCGCGUCCUUGAGCCAAGGUUUCUCAUACCAUUGUCAAAGGUGCGACUACUACCUCGACAUUUAUUGCAGUAUUGUUUAUGAGCGUAGGACUCUCCGUUGUGAUGCUCAUGUUCACACCCUCCGGUUCAGCACAAAGCUCGUGUCCUGCAGAAGUUGUGGUACUCGUGAUAAGAAUUUCUGCUUCAGAUGUGGCAGUGAGAGAUGCGACUUCCAUCUGUGUAUUUCGUGUGUUAAAUUACCUCUUACAGUCAGGUACAAUUACGACGAUCAUCCUCUCAAACUCACUUAUGCUAGUGUUAAAAAUGACCUCGAUGAGUACUAUUGUGACAUAUGCGAAGGAAUACGAGAUCCAGAACAUUGGUUCUACUCCUGCCCGGAUUGUGACUUUGAAUGUCAUCCUGAUUGCAUUAGAGGGACGUAUCCGCAAGUCAAGUUAGGGGGCUCUUACAAGCAUCGUGAUCACCAGCACAACGUCGCCCUUGUUUAUAAGAGAAAAAGCGAGAUUCCUAAUGAUAAGAGAGAGCGCUUACUUCCUUGUUCCAACUCCAAGUGUCGUAUGAUGUGCCAAGGAUUGGUUUGUGAAUGUUUGGAGUGUGGUAUUAAUAUGCACCUAGGGCACCACUUGUGGGGCUCUCCGAUUCUCGACUAGAAUGUUUAGCCAUUAAGAGUUGCAACUCUACAAAGAGUGUUUCAUUCUCAAAUACUUUUGUUUUGUAUUAUGUAUUGGUUCAAUUUGUUUGAGUGUUACUAUAAGUUUGUAAACUUAUCAACUAAAUUAUUUGAUGUUAAUCUGCAAGCUCAUCAAUGCAAACAACUCUGUAUCGAACAACUUUUCUUCGUUUUCGAACUAUGGCAUCCAACUUGGUACAAGCGAGAGAUGCGUGCAAGUGUGCCCCUGAAGCGUGCUCGAACGAAAUAGAAGAGAGAUGAAUAAACUGGUUUUAAUCGUUAUAGUGAUAGAGAGAAAGCGUACAAAUCUUUAAAAUAGAAAAUGAAAUACAGGAUUCUAACAGAAGCGCUAGUAAAUUCAAACAAGUAGGACUUAAAAUGAGAAGGAAAUAUGGGAGAAGGCAACGUCAAGCCAUCUCAGGUUUGAUAAUUUCCAGAGUGCGAGUGAGGUAAACUGGACCUUUUGUCUUGACCAGCUCUGCGAGGCUGCGCCAGCGCUGGAAAUUUAUACGCAAUGACAGUUUAGCAGUCAUACAAGGGCACGCGCACAGAGCCUUGUCGACUGAAAUGGAAAUUGGCGCCCUUCAAUAAAGGGCACCAAUAUUCCUAGGACUAGUUAUGCUACUUGUAUCCCAAUUCGCAAGCUUAAACACAAAUGAAAUUGCUUUCGCCCUAAACAGGCCUAAUUUUCAUUUAUGUCCCAAACAGUAAAUCCCAACGCUAUGGUGCCAACAACCGUGGACAAGGUCAAGGCCAAGGAUGAAAUAAUAAAGUGCGUGCUCCAUAUCAAUAGAAAUGAGAUGCAUUUGGUCAAGUAGUGAAUUGACAUGAAAAAGUGCUUCUAAUUUUUAGAUGUGAAUCAUGUGAUAGUUCAAGUAAGAAGUAACUUUGUUCAUAUCAAUCUGAGACGCAUGUUCAGUUGCCUAACUUGGCUUGUUAACGAAUGACUUAAAUUAAACAUAACACAGUAAACAAACAAUACUGAGUACACCCUAUUCGUUGACUAAGCAUCAACAUUCGAGUCUUUGACAUAUCAUGUUUAACUCCUCUGCACACACAGAGUAUAACAUCAUCACCUAAAAUAUGAACCAGAAAGCAAAAGCAUAUAAAAUUUCUAUUUUGAAAAUCUUGCUUUUCAUUGUUUGCCAGCAUAUCAGAAUGUGUGUAAGCGUGUGCUUGCACGUGUGUUUGUGAAUAUGACCACUCUUUAUCAAGGACCAUAAAGCACGGAGGAAGAAAACAAACAAUUGUUUAAACAACCUUCAUUUUUUGCUGUGAUAAGUAAAAAGGACAACAGCAUAUAUUCACAGAGAUGACUGUUAUCAAGCUUAAAGGGAACGACAUCCAUGACUCAGCACGGGAACAUAUAAUUACAUAGACUUAAUAAAAUUAAAAUAGAAUCUGUUAACCCUUAAACUCACCUGAUUUUCCUCUGUGGAGUAUUUGAGUAUCCUCAGCUAUCAAUUGCGACAAAGUGUCAACAUUAACCUUCUGCCAACAUGUGCAUAAGAAGUCAGAGUAAGACGUUAUUCAUUUUCUGUGAGAGAGAGAAAGAGAGAGAGUUCAGCUGAUACCAUGGAAAACCAUUACAAAGGCCACAUCUCUAGUUCACAUGUUCAACGAACGUGCAACAAAAUCCAUUCAAAACCUAUAAUACAUCAUCACAAAGGACAUAUCUUUAUUCAAGACUUUGGGUCUACAGGUCUAUCUCCAGCUAUAAGUUUUCAGUUUUCGUUCUUUUGAGCAGCUAGCCUACAUCAAAGCACUAGUUCCUUUUCAGGCAAAAUAGGAAUAUACGCGGAAAAAUUAAGGCAUUUCGUCUGAUUUCAAAACAUGAAUAUGGUCAGAGGUAUUCUUUUUACUGCCAACAGAAAGCAUGUCUCUGGCUAGUAACAGAAGCAAAAAGCAUGGAACAAGCAAACAUUGUUAUUGGAACCUGACAAUCAAAAUCAUCCGCUAGCAAAGAAGGAACUCAGAAAUUAUAGAAAUGCAGAGCACAUAAUCAAGGCAGUAUAAGGAAUGAUAGGUGAAAUGAUAGGUGAACCAACCAAGGAGUUGAGCAAAGAAGGUGUGCAACCGUCACAGCAGCAGAGCUGAACUCAUUUGCACUCAACGUCAGCUUCAGCAGCUCGGUGAGGCUUAUUUUUCUGCCUACUCCCAUAUUGUCGGAAUCCAACAGACUUUUUUUGGGUUAUCAAGACUUGAUUUUGUUUCAAUCAUUUUAUCCUCUUUGACUGAUUUUAUAGUUUCUUUGACCUGAGCCGACCUCUUCCUUUUCCUUCCAUUCUCUAUGGCACAUUGGUCUUUCAUGUCUUUGCUCAAAACAUGACCUUUUGCAUCAUCGCCAUCUUCUGUCUUCAAAGCCACUUAUCCUUCUCCAAUAUCGUCCUUCAAUGUCUUUUGUGGCCUUCCUCUUCUCCUGCUUGGUAGAAUCCCUUCCUCUUCACUUCCGGUAUCCUCACGAGCAGCAAUAACGUUUUGUUUCUUUGCUUUUCCUCUACCUCUUCCCAUAGUAAAAAACCCCCGUGAAGAAAUUUCCCAACUAAAGGAAUUUUCGCAAACACAAACCAAUUAUUUCCAAAAACUACACUGUGUAGCUGAAUGAACUCCACCUAUCAACUUGCAAAGUUUGUUUGACAGAAUACAAAUGUAAGCUAUCUGCAAGCAGAAGACGACUGAAUCAAAUCCAUAUCAGCCGCCAAUGAUAAGGUUAAUUCCUAUCUCUCUUUUCUUUCUCUUGAAUUCAAUUAAGAAGAAAGAAAAUGUAGGUUCAAACCCUUGAUCUCGAUAAUUCCAAAUAUCCAAAACCAAAAGCGCAUCUUAAUCCUGCCAAGAUAUUCAAAUAUCAAACGAUUGUACUGGCUCAGUUUAAUCAUGUUAGUAUAGAGAAGUCGAAAGGGAAAUGAACGGAAAUACUUAAACAGUAACUAAGUACCACGAAACAGGUAAACCCGUUGUAAAAUUCAACCCGAACAACUUAUUUACUAGUAACUGCAGAUCAACAAGAAAGACCGAUCCUUUUUGGAUAAAAAACCAACAGCAAGGCAAACCAUUCUGGCUUCACUUUUAUAAAUCCAAAUCCUAAUCCCAACUUUGGCUGCUGCAAGAAAGAAUCCAUAGAUUUGAACCUUAAGACUAUGCUUUGAGUUUCAGAUUAUGAUGAACUAACUCCGCCCACUUCCAAAAUUCUCAGGUCCAAAACAAUUAGAAAUCCACGAUGACAAAAGCAAAUUAUUUUCUUUUCUCUACCACUUAUUUUCAUAUAACAAAACAAAAGCAUUCAUAUGAGAGAAUCAAUAUAUGUGCAACAUGGAGAAGAAAGAAGAAGGAAGGGCUGCUGACCUGAAAGCAAAUAUCCACUUCCUGCAUCUCAUUCAUAAAACCCAUUUCUCGGAUUCUGAUUAGACCAAUCAAGAAACCAACAAAAACCCAUCAACCCAGAAUAGCCUUGUUUUUUCUAUCACUGGUGAUGAAGUUAGCAGAACCCAAAUGAAAUUGAAAACUAUGACGUGAAUAAACAAGUAACGAAGACCCAGAUCAGAAAAAGAUGUGCUUAGAGAGAAAGGUUAGCAGAAAUAAUGGAGGCUGAAGAGAUUAAUCAAAAGCAAUAAGAUUUUGAGAGCUUUUAAAGGGAGGAAGAAGGCAGAGGGAAAUAACUUGAAUAGAGAAAAGGGAAGAGAAAGUAGUGAGAGUUUGGUUUUGUCGUGCUCUUCUUAGUUCCUGGUCCAAGUGUCUUUACCAAGGGUUUCUUGCUUUAGUACCAAAACAACACCACAACCCAAACACGAAUCAUCAAUUUCAAAAGAACCAGAUGAGCAAAAAGUGAGAAAAACUCAAGCUCAUCUUAACAAAAAUCAAAUGGAUAUUAUAUGUAAUCUGAAUAAUCUCUUCAUAUAUGUAAGUUGAACCACAGUGUAUGUUGAAAACAACUAAAACUAAUGAAAGUACGAAUUCAUAUACAAUCAAUCCGAAUAAAAUAAAGAAUACAUUUAAACUACUUGGGAGCUCUUCUCGGCUUGGAACAUCGAUUCAUUUAAACGGCGGUAGAUAAAAUGCGAAACCCAAGCCACCAACACAAGAAGCGCGGUAGCAGCCCCACCGACAAUCACAAGAUUAAGAACCGGGAGCGGUCGUGUGAUUUUUGAGCUUAGUGACAUUGCCUUCGAAGAACCUGCUGGUGAGGAUGGAGAAGGAGAGGGGCUUGGACUAAUGACUGGAUCUUCUAUUUCGAGGGCAUUGAUCUUGAUUUUAAUCUUUUGGCCGGCUUUGCAGUGACCAGGUUCACCACAAAUAACGUAGUAGGUGCCGGGUAUAUCAAAAGUUAAGGCGGUAAAGGUACCGUAAUGAGAUAGGGGAAGUGAUGGAAUGCAAUAGUCAUAAUCUGAUUGAGUGACUAUCAUCACAAAAUCGUUUUCAUGUUUGUAAUUAAAUAUGAACUCGUCACCCACAUAAAAAAAUUUCGAUGAAGCCCAUUCGUUGUAAUCAACCGCACCACUGUCGGUCCACCCUUCCAAAUCGCCACCAACCGUAUAAAUGGUAGCGGAACAAGCACCAAAGAAAAUCAUCAUGAUGAUGAAACUCACGACAGCAGUGUUUCUUAGAGCCAUGACUGAAACAGUAAAGAAAAAACAAGCAAGGAGUAUGCACGUAGACAAAUUUAGAUGAAAGGUAGUAAUGCCCGAGCAUGCGUAUAUAUAGGAAAGGUAUAGUUAGUGUCCGAAAUGGAAAAUGUUCCCCAAAUCCAGUUGGAAAACGAUUUAUAAAAUCAGACAAGUAGUAGGAAUUCUAUUUAGGAAUAAUAUUGCCCAAGCUUAAUUAAUAAUCGAAUUCCAAUUUGCUGCCGUUUUGUCGGCUGCUUUUGCUUCCAACUUCUGCUUGUUUCCAUGUAUGAUGAAACAUUUUAUUUUUAUUAUAAGUCACAGUGGAGAAGCGACAAUCGAACUCGGGUCUUCGGGUUGCAUGAUGCAAAUUUAGUGCAUAAAAGGAUUCCAAUUUCUUAUUAGCAUUUGGAAUCUUUGUUGCUGUUUUUAUGGCAUGGCCAGAGACAAGACUCAUUUACUUUGUGCCUGAUUGUCGAGAGAAGCAGCACUGCUUCGGUGUCACUGGCUCCCUCUUUGUGACGAGAGAUACAAAGAGCAGUAUUGACACCGGAUAGAAAAGCAUUUAUCCCACUAGCGAGGCCUCGACUGAGCAACUUUGAGCCGCCAACAAAACCAUGGUGGCAAUGGUCUUUAUUGUUAGAGUAUAUAUUCAAUGGUCCAUGAUUGUGACACUUGUCACAAUCUUGGUGUAUUGGUUAGUUAGUGACUAGUUUUGUAACUGCCUAUAUAAGGCAAGGUUGUUGUAUUACUUAGUAAGAAAGAAAUAUACUUUACAGAAAAUUCUCUUCUCUUCUUCUCCUUCCUCUCUCUCUACUUUCUCUCUCUAGUUCUUGCAUACUAUAGAAAGAUUACAAAAAGAUAUACAGUUCAACUCAUGAAGAUUAACAUGGUAUCACUAGCCAUUGUUGUUGACGCGUGAUCUUCGAUCCUUCUUGCUUCCGCUUCUUCCUCCUUCAUCUUCGGUAUCCUCGGAUUUUCUUAUCAGACUCAAUCUUCUUUGCUUUCUAGGGUUUUGUUGUCGAUUAUUCAUUGUGAUUGAUUUCUGGUUCGAUUUGUUGUGUGCGAUCUCUGCACAUUAAGUAUUUGUGAAAAUUUCUGACUAAAAUUGGGGUUGUGCUUCAAGAAUCUGCAAUCUUGCGUGAAAGAUGGUGACUACAUCUCAGCUACAGUUGCUUCAAUCUCCGGUUACGAACCUUAUUUCGUCGAUCUCGACCUCCGUUAACAUCAAGCUUGAUGACUCCAAUUAUCUUAAUUCGCAUUUUCAAAUGCAACUCUUGUUGGAAAGCAAUGGUAUUAUGGGAUUUUUGGAUGGCUCGAACCCUUGUCCGUCUCAAAAUCUCUCAUAAAUUGGUGGAUCUGGUAUUAAUCCCUCUGCCUCUUCUACUUCUACUGAGAAUGAUGCUUUUGUGAUUUGGAUAAUGCAUGAUAGGGCUAUAAUGCAAUUGAUUACUGUGACUUUAUCACUUGUGGCUAUGUCAUGUGCUAUUGGGAGUCAAAGCUCGAGAGAUCUUUGGAAUCGUUUAAAGGCGCAAUGUUCCACUGUAUCCAAAACAAGUAUAUUUCAGAUGAAGUCGAACUUGCAGACAAUUAAAAAGGGGUCUGAUUCCAUUUCUGUUUAUCUGCAAUGAAUUAAAUAAGCUAGGGAUUAUUUGUCAGCUACUGGAGUGUUCUUUCAAGAUGAGGAUAUUGUAAUACUAGCUCUUAAUGGUUUGCCCUCUGAAUACAAUACUUUUCGUUGUGUCAUCCAAGGUCGUGAAAGUGUCAUUUCCCUAAAAGACUUUCGAGCACAGUUACUUGCUGAAGAAGUCAUUGUUGACAAUCAUUCGAAUGCAUCUUUUAUGACUGCUAUGGUUGCUAAUUCUCAGCCUAAAAAUGCAUCAUCCUCAUCACAGUCGUUUGGCAAUACUCAUGGUCAAUCCCAAUUUGCCUUUGGAGGUUACAAAGCUUACAAUGGGAAUAAAAAUAAGGGCAAAGGCAAGUAUUAGGGACACAGAUUCUUCAAAUCCCAGACUUGUGUACUCAAAUCAGGCGCAUAUUUUGUCUACUCCUGCAUCAGGAGAUAUGUGGGGUCUUCAUCUACACCUAUGUUUCCUCCAUGUCAGUUAUGUAACAGUGAUGGUCACACUGCUCCAUUUUGUGGUGCAAAGCCUCCAGACAGGCAUGGCUGUCAAAUCUGUGGAAAAACAAAUCAUGUGACUUGGUUUUGUUUCUACAACGAUAAAAGGCCUAACUAGCUGUCCUCGUUCACCACAAUCAUAUGGGUUCCAAUUUGCACAUCCUAACCUUCACAUGUUGCCUCCUUCAUCUCAGUAUUCAUAUCAAGGGUUUCCACAACAACAUACACAUCAGCUACAGCAAUAUCCAAUGCAUGUUAUGCACACUGUGUUCAAUUCUACACCUCAAACUGCAACUCCAUCAGCACCUCCACAAGUUUGGUUGAUUGAUUUUAGAGCAACCAAUCAUAUGACUGCUAACAUGAGCAACUUAUCAUUGGCAUCACCCUAUCCUACUAGUGAGACCAUACAAACUGCCAAUGGUGAAGGUUUACAAGUCUCCCAUAUUGGGAAUUUUAUCAUUCAUACUCCAGCAAAACCAAUCAAAUUAAAUUAUGUGUUAUAUGUUCCCAAGUUAACACAAAAUUUAUUGUCAGUACAUAAGAUUUGCCUUGAUAAUAAUUGUUGGCUAAUCUUUGAUGCAUUUUGUUUUCGGAUGCAGGAUAAGGCCACAUGAAUGAUUCUCUACAAAGGGCUGUGUAGUAAUGGACAAUAUCCCAUUUAUUCCCUUUCCUAUACCAACUCCAGUACUUCACAAAGUCAACCAUCAGCAAAAGCUUUUCUGGGACAGCUUGUUAAAUCGCAGCUUUGGCAUCAUAGGUUAGGUCAUCCAACCAACCAUGUUGUUUCUCUUAUGUUAAAUAAAGCCAAUGUACCUAGUACCCCUUCUAAGUCAUCUGUUUUGUGCCAUCAUUGUCUUGAAGGCAAAUUUAGCAAAUUACCCCUUCCAACUCAUGUCAAUAAGUCUAUUAAGCCUUUUGAAAUUGUGCACAGUGACUUUUAGGGUCCUGCACCUUGUGUCUCUGUUGAUGGUCACAAAUAUUAUGUAAUCUUCAUUGAUGAAUAUAGCAGACAUUGUUGGCUUUUUCCAUUGAUAAACAAGUCUAAUAUGUACUCUACCUUUCUUGCAUUCUAUUUUUUUUGUACUUAAUCAAUUCUCUACUACGAUUAAGAUUUUACAAAGUAAUGGUGGGGGAGAGUAUAUGAGUCACAGGCUUCAAUCUUUUCUUCUGAACAAAGGUAUUGUUCAUCAUAAGUCCUGUCCAUACACACCUGAACAAAAUGGGUUAGUUGAACGCAAACAUAGGCAUAUUAUAGAAACCACUGUGACAUUAUUGCAAACUGCUAAACUGCCACAUCAAUUUUGGUCUUAUGCUUGUCAAACUGCUACCCAUCUUAUAAAUAGAAUGCCAACUGUUGUUCUUAAAAACAGGUCACCAUUUGAACUUUUAUUUGGCAGUGCUCCAUUAAUAUCACAUCUUCGAAUAUUUGGUUGUGUAUGUUUCCCUUUGUUAAAACCAUUCAACAGCACCAAACUUCAACCCAAAACCACAAGAUGUAUUUUUCUAGGAUAUGCUUCUAAGUAUAAGGGGUAUAUGUGUUAUGAUGUGCCUAAGAUAAGGAUUUACAUUUCUAGGCAUGUUAUUUUUUAUGAACACCAAUUUCCAUAUGCAGAUUUAAUGAUACAAUCCACUAGUACUAAAUCUAAUUCAUCAGUUCUCACUUCAUCCUCCAUUCCCAUAUCAGUGGUUAAUACAAACAAUGUCAUUGUGUCUCCAUCACCAAUAUCUUCUAAUACACCAGUAUCGGUACCACUUCAUUCAUUCAAUAUACCAGAUAUUCAUCCAAAUCCUUCACUUAAUCCUCAGUCCAUUACUAGUGCACCUGAAUUUUCCUCUCAGCUCCCUGUGGUACUUGAUCCAAAUACUAUAAUAUGUACUCAGAACACUGAGUUUCAUCCUGAUUCUCUGCAAGCUGUUUUGGAUAUUCCUUCAAUCAAUUUGCAUCCAAUGCAAACUCGAAGCAAAAGUGGUAUUUUUAAAAAGAAGGCUUUACUAGCAUCUAUUCAAGAUUCUGAGGGGAUUGAUUUGUCCACAAUUGAACCAAGCUCUUAUAAGUCUACUCUUAAAAGUCCUAUAUGGUUCAAAGCCAUGCAAGAAGAACUGGAUGCUCUCAAAGCUCAGGGUACUUGGACUCUGGUUUCUUUGCCAUCUACUAAAAAUCUUGUUGGCUGCAAGUGGAUCUUCAAAAUCGAAAGACACUUUGAUGGAUGGAUCUAUUGCUCGACAUAAAGCUCGUUUGGUAGCUAAGGGGUUUAGUCAAGAACCUGGUUUGAAUUAUGGUGAGACUUUUAGCCCUAUGGGAUCUUAGACAAUUGGAUGUUAAAAAUGCAUUCUUACACUUUGAUGGAUGGAUCUAUUGCUCGACAUAAAGCUCGUUUGGUAGCUAAGGGGUUUAGUCAAGAACUUGGUUUGGAUUAUGGUGAGACUUUUAGCCCUAUGGUUAAACCUACUACUGUGAGGUUAGUACUUGCUCUUACUGCAAAUUUUGGUUGGGAUCUUAGAUAAUUGGAUGUUAAAAAUGCAUUCUUACAUGAAGUUUUGGAAGAAGAAGUUUAUAUGACUCAACCACCUGGUUUUCAGGAUCCCAUUAAUUCUCAUUUGCCUAAGUUGGGAUUUGUCAAUACAUAUGCAGAUUCUUCUAUGUUUGUCAAAUAUGUUGAAAAUACAAUUGUGAUCCUUCUGCUUUACGUGGAUGAUAUAAUCAUCACUAGGACUGCUACAACUUCAAUUUCACAUUUUAUCAGUGCUCUUACUACUGAGUUCGAUAUCAAAGAUAUGGGGCCCUUACAUUUUUUCUUGGGCAUUCAGAUUUCCAAGACUACCAGUGGAUUGUUUCUGUCCCAAACUAAAUACAUUCAUGAUUUGUUAGUGAAGACUGAAAUGCUUGAAGCAAAAGCCUGUGAGACAUCAUGCCUUCCAUAUAAUCGCCUUCUUAAACAUGAUGGUGAUCCUUAUGCUAAUCCUGGUGCUUAUAGGAGUAUUGUGGGAGCUUUACAGUAACUUACUUUCACUAGGCCUGACAUUGCAUUUUCAGUGCAUCAGGUAUGCCAAUUUAUGCAGAAACCUAUGGUAGCUCAUUAUACUACUGUAAAACGAAUUCUCAGGUACUUAAAAGGUACUAUGAAUGUGGGUGUUACCUAUACUCGAGGAGAUCUUCACCUCAAGGCCUUUAGUCAUGCAGAUUGGGCAGGAGAUCCUAAUGACAGAUGGUCCACUACGGGGUUGGUUGUGUUUUUAGGUUCAAAUCUCAUAUCUUAGUCCUCAAAGAAACAACAAACCGUGUCUAGAUCAUCUACUAAGCAGAAUAUAGAGCUCUUUCUUCCACUUCUGCAGAAUUAGAUUGGAUUAAGCAAUUGCUUGCAUUUCUGCAUAUUCCCGUGACUAUACCUCCAGUUCUUUUCUAUGAUAACUUGUCAGCUAUUGCCCUGUCAUUUAAUCAUGUGCAACACCAGAAGACUAUGCAUAUUGAAAUCGAUGUCCAUUUUGUUCGAGAACAAGUGGCCAAGAAACAGUUGACAGUGCAGUUUGUUUUGUCCCAAGAAUAAUUUGCUGAUAUAUUGACCAAAGGUUUAAGUGGUCCUUUGUUUAGAACUCAUUGUAUCAAUCUCAUGCUUAGUUCAUUAAAGCAUGAGCUUGUGGGGGGAUGUUAGAGUAUAUAUUCAAUGGUCCAUGAUUGUGACACUUGUCACAAUCUUGGUGUAUUGAUUAGUUAGUGACUAGUUUUGUAACUACCUAUAUAAGGCAAGGUUGUCGUAUUACUUAGUAAGAAAUAUACUUUACAGAAAAUUCUCUUCUCUCCGUCUCCUUCCUCUCUCUCUCUCUCUCUACUUUCUCUCUCUAGUUCUUGCAUACUAUAGAAAGAUUACAGAAAUAUAUACAGUUCAAUUCAUGAAGAUUAACAGUUAUUACAAUUAAUUUUGAGCAAAUCUAAUAGUGAUAGGUUUACCGAAUGAUGGUAGACAACAAAGUUUACGAUGAAGAUGUCUUGACUUGAAACCCAUGUAAUCAUUCUUUUUGAUAAAGCAAACCGGAACACAACAAAUUGAAAGAUUUCGAAAUAAUGGCUAGCAUUCUAAAAUCAUAGCUUCAGAAUUCUGCACUUUAGAACUAUUGAAUUAUAAGCAAUGAGCUGAUUAGAGUAUAGUGAAUUAGCCAUGUGUUUAAUUUUGUAUUCACUUAUGUUUAAGAUUACCAAGUGUAAGGCUCUAAUAUAUAAGGUCAUGAGUGCCAUGUGUAAUGAUCCUAGUUAUUAGCUAGAUGAGUGGCUAAGAUCAGCUUCUAUAGAAAGAGUGAUCGAACUAAGUUUUUCUAACGGUAUUAUUCUCUUUGCACGACUUGUGUGUGGGAGUGAGAGAAGCAAUCAAUGAGAAGAAUAUUUCCUCUGUGACUUGCAGAGAAAGAAGCAACCAUUUUCCUCUCUCUUGUGCAUUCAUCUCUCUUCAAUUCUUCUUCUUCCAAAAUAUCAAUUUACUGAGCUAAAUUCCAAUUUACACUAACAAGAACCACAACACUGGUUUUCCAGCAACUUGUUCAUAAAGCUAAAACUCAUCAAAAAGGACAAUUAAGCGUUGCAGUAUUUCGGUUGCUCCACAUUCUUAAAACACUUGCAGAAAUUGAAAAGCCGUGACAAGAAUGGAUAUAUUAAAUCGAAAUCCAUUGCACAGCUUUUGGGUGUAUACAGAGUCCAACUUAUGAACCUUGAAAAAAAGUCUAAAACUCUCCCAUAGAUUUGCCUAGGGUGCAUAGUUUUAUGGAAAGAAAUCAGUUUCGACAAAAGAAAAACUGGAAGAAAACAACCCAAUGUUAGAAAAAUGUUGAAGGAGAAUAAAACUUGCUGAACCUGGUUUCUUAAAACUAGACCCAACCAAUCAAGUUACGGGGUGUUAUACUGACUUCAUAUCGCUCUUGACUAUGAACAAGAGCUAGUGACAUCAAAGACCAGUUCAUUUAUGGAGAAGAGUCACGAGCUACCUGAUGGACAGGUAAUCACUAUCGGAGCUGAAAGAUUCUGCUGCCCUAAAGUCCUCUUCCAGCCAUCCAUGAUUGGAAUGGAAGCUGCCGGUGUUGGUUAUUAUACUUAUUUUAAUAAUAUUUUAUUUUAAAGAUUCAAAACUUAUUAUUAUUUUAUUUUAUUUAUUUUUAAUAUUUAAGAGUUGUGUUUUAUUUGAAGAGUCAUAAUCCUUUUAUAAAAAGGUAUGAGAAGUUCUUUAAAUAUGAAACCUCAGACACAAAACAAAAUACGCUAAAACUUUUCUGUCUCCCUCAGUUUUCACAUCUCAAUUUACAUUACUACUUCAUAAUUCUUGGGCAAUUGAUCACUACUUGGCAAUCCCGUCUGCCGUUGGCGUGCAUAUCAGAUCAGACAUCAUGUGAGGCUUUGGGUUGUAUCUUGGAGUUAUAGGCACCGCCAUAACUUGCAUGUAAGGCGGCGUCUACGACUUUAAGGCAACGACAUCGCACCUCUCUUUGGUUUACAGGCCAGAUAUUUUUAUUCCUUUUUUCCUAAUUUAAAUUUCAUAAGUCUGAUAGUGAUUAUACAUUUGAUUUGAUAUAUUUGAUCAUAUAAAUAAUUGAUAUAUUUCUGGAAUAUAUUUCACAAUCUAAAGCCGUAAAAAUGUGAUAAUAUAAUUGCAAAUUUUUAUAAUAUGUUUUCACGGUACUUUGAAAGUCCAAUAAUUGUAGUUUUCAUGCCAUUGAAUUUUCUGGGAAAGGCCAACCAUACCCUUCGUUGAUUGCAUCCAUGGUCUAAAAUAUCCAUAAAAUCGCGAUAUUUCCAUCGAAAUUUCCGUGUUUUUGGACUACCGAUAUUUCCGAUAUCAUCGAUAUUUUAGAUCUUGCUAAGUCACUCAUGUAUCUUACCAUGCAAUGUAUAAAGUGUAAAAUAUUGUACUAAUUCAUUAUAUAUAAAUGAUUAUGGUGUGUUUAAACUUAUUUCAUUAAUUACUACAUAUUUUCUACACUCACAAUGUUUGCCAGCUCGCUAUAUAAUCAACUUAAAUCAAUUAUAUCUAUCAUGCAAUGCAUUUCCUUCCAAUUUUUUGUGAUAAACUAAUAUAUAAUUGACUAAAUAAACAUCCUGCAAAGUUUCGAUAAAAAUUUCCAAGUUUUUCUUAUAAUUUCCGUGGUUUUUAUUCAAUUUUUAUCGAUAUCGAUAAUAUCCCGAUAUUUCCAUCGAAAUUUUCGUGUUUUUGGACUACCGAUAUCAUCGAUAUUUUAUACCUUGAUUGCAUCUUUGAUUCUCUGCAAUAUACUCCUUGUACUCCUGCUGUUAAUAAUUUGCCUCUCUGCAUUUUUUUAAUUAUUUGGGUCCUGUCGCUAAAAGCCUAGGAAGGCUAACAUUUCCCUUCUUUUCAUGACUGUGCCCUUCUUUCAUUAUUUUUUGACUUUUUGCAUUUUUUAUUUUUAUUUUUAUUUUAUUCAAUACCAAAACACUUUUGGAUACAGCUUCUAAAGGACACGGUUGAUCAAUUUAAAAUACUAAUUUAUAGCCCACAAAACCAGCGUGAUUUGAAACGUUUUAUUCAAUUCGCGAACUCCAUGUGUGUGCCCAUCUCUAUCCAUUCGGAUAUUUUUGACCCAUCCAAACCAUUUUUUUACACAUAGUGCUAUUACAAUUUGACUACAAUUGCAUAUCAAUAUGUUAAUUGCUUUAUGCUUUAAUUAAAUCUGUGCGUGAUUAUCAUUAUUAAUUGAUCUAUGGUUAUUAUACAGUAGUAUAGUUUAUCCUAUAUUUGUUAAAAUUUUUGAGUGACAAACUUGUUUUAAUUUCUACAAUGUUGUAGCAAUCUUAUUUCUCUCUCACUUACUACUAGUCAAUAUUACAUAACAAAUGGCAAGCCUAGAAGAAGCCAAUAGUGUUAAGCCUAAAAAAUUUAGUGGCCAUAAUUUCCGUAGGUGGCAAAAAUAAGUGAAAUAUUGGUUAACUGUUUUAGGACUUGUAUCCGCACUUGAAGAAACUCAAUCAAACAAAGAUUCCUCUUCUAAAGAGUCAUCUUCUAAACUAACCCCUGAACUAAUAGAAUACCAUUAUCACAACAGAAUCUUAAGUGCCCUCUAUGAUGUGUAUCAUGGUACUACAUCCACCGCCAAAGAACUUUGGGAAACUUUAGAAGUGGAAUAUGGAAUUGUAGAUGCUGGGAUGGAUAGGUUCACAGUCUCGAGCUCUAAUGAUUAUAAGGUGGUAAAUAAUAAGUCUGCGGGGGAACAAAUACAUGAGUAUCAAGAGCUAUUAAGAGGUGUUGCAAACGAAGUUCAAUGAGGACUUUAAAGUCUCCUACCUUAUUGAUAAACUGCCUCAAUCUUGGAAUGACUUUGCUAGAACCUUAAGGCAUAAACAAGGAGAACUUACUUUAGUUCGAGUCAUAAAUUCAAUUAGGAUCGAAGAGAAGCAUAGGUCAAGCCAAAAGAAGGAAACCGAAAAGCAAACAACUGUGAACUUAGUUGAGAAUGACACCCACAAAAAUGGAAAAAAACAAAAACAAGUUCACCAUAAAUAAUAAGAAGAAUUACAAACCUAGAAGAACAAAUUUUAAAUUCAAAUCACCCAACCAAAAUAAGAACUUUCACAAGACUAAGGAUCAAGGGAGAGAGAAAGGGGUUUGCUUUGUUUGCGGAAGAACUAAUCAUAAGGCUAAGGAUUUCUUCUACAAGAAGACUAAGGCGAACAAGUAUAAGUCAAAUCAUAAUGUCCAAACGCCCAAGUAAAUAUGUUGAUGGAGCAACAAAUCUUCUCAAACACAUUUUAAGUAUGAUUCCUUUGUCAAUUUUACUUAUGAAAAUAAGGAUUGGUGGGUAGAUUCUGGAGCUAACGUACAUGUCUGUUUUGAUCGUGAAUUUUUUAAAACCUAUCAGAAAUCAGGUGGAGGACGUGUAACUCUAGGAAAUGACUCAAUGUCACAAGUGCUUGGAAUUGGAGACAUAGAACUAAAGAUGACAUCUAGAAAGGUCUUAAUUUUGAAGGACGUGCGACAUGUACCUGAUAUUAGAAGAAAUUUAAUUAGUGGAUCAUGCUUAGUAAAGUAAGGCUAUAAAGUUGUAAUGGAAUCAAAUAAGGUUGUAAUAACCAAGAAUAAUGUAUUUAUUGGAAAAGGUUUUAUUAGUGAAGGAUUAUUUAAGCUAAGUGUUUCUUCCGAGUGCAAUAAUAUUCCAAAAGUUCUUAACGUUGAAUCUAGUAAUGUUUGGCAUGGACGGUUGGGACAUGUACACUUGUUCAAAAUUAAGAAAAUGAUGGAUUUGGACCUAGUCCCAAAGUCAAACAUGAAUCUCAAGCAUAAGUGUGAAAUUUGUGUACAAACAAAACAACCCAAGAAACCUUUUAAGUUCGUGUAAAGGAAUACCCAAAUUUUAGAGCUUAUACAUAGUGAUGUUUGUGACUCAAAUAGAUUACCUACUAGAGCCGGUAAUAAUUAUUUUAUCACAUUUAUAGAUGAUUGUUCGAAGUAUUGUUAUAUUUAUUUGAUAAAGACCAAUGAUGAAGUAUUCGGUAAAUUCAAGAUUUACAAGACAGAAGUAGAAAAUCAAUUGGAGAAAAGGACAAAUAGACUUAGGUCUGAUAGAGGUGGUGAGUACACUUUUACCGAUAUUAGUGUUUUUUGUGAAGAGCAUGGUAUUAUACAUGAAGUAACAGCACCCUAUUCUCCACAAUCAAAUGGAGUUGCAAAGAGGAAGAAUAGGACCUUAUUGGACAUGGUGAAUGCAAUGUUUUUGAAUUCUAGAUUACCAGAAAAUUUGUGAGGGGGAGCAAUUUUGACUGCAUGUUUUAUAUUAAAUAGAGUGAUCAUUAAAGACAACACUACUACUCCAUAUGAAAUUUGGAGAAAGAGAACACCAAAUAUCCAAGUCUUGAAAGUGUGGGGAUGUUUGACUAAACUUGCAAUCCCAGAACCUAAGAGAAAAAAGAUAGGAUCUAAAACCGUGGAUACUAUUUUCUUAGGUUAUGCUCAUAAUAGUAGUGCCAAUAGAUUUCUAGUCAUCAACUCUGAAAUAAAUGAAAUUUUGAAUAACACUAUAUUUGAGUCUAGGGAUGCAACAUAUUUUGAAGACAUAUUUCCUUUCAAGACUAGAAUGCAAAAGCAAGUGGUAGAUAGAUCAUGCACUAGUACUGACAAAGCCUUCACAAGUAUUAGCCAUCAAGUUACAAAUGAAGAAGAACCUCUAGCUGAACUUAGAAGGAGUAAGAGACCUAGAGUGGAGAAGAACUUUGGUGAUGAUUUUUAUACUCUUCUAAUUGAAGGUGAUCCAACAACAUAUAAGGAAGCCAUGAUCUUCGUCGAUGCUCCAUUUUGGAAAUAAGCUAUAAAUAGUGAAGUUGAGUCUAUUUUAUAAAAUAACACUUGGGAGUUAACGUAUUUACCACCCGGUACUACACCAAUUGGUUGUAAGUGGGUAUUUAGGAAGAAACUAAAGCCUGAUGGAAGUAUAGACAGGUACAAAGCUAGGCUAGUAGCCAAGGGAUUAACUCAAAAGAAAGGAAUUUAUUAUUUUGACACUUACUCUCUUGUGUCUAGGAUUACCACAAUUAGGAUCCUCAUAGCAUUAGCUUCUAUACACAGUUUAGUAGUACGUCAAAUGGAUGUUAAAACAAAAUUUUUGAAUGGAAACUUAGAUGAAGAAAUUUACAUGGAGCAACCCAAAGGAUUUAUAGUGAAAGGCCAAGAACAUAAAGUGUGUAAGUUGGUUAAAUCACUAUAUGGACUCAAGCAAGCUCCUAAGCAGUGGCAUGAGAAGUUUGAUAAAGUCAUUUUAGAAUAUGAUUUUGAAAUUAAUGAGCAUGAAAAGUGUGUCUACUAUAAGGAAUGCAAUGUACAAUGUGUUAUUUUAUGCCUUUAUGUUGAUGAUAUACUAUUAUUUGGAACAAGUUUGGAAAUUGUGAAAGAUGUUAAAUCUUAUCUGUCAAAGAGAUUUGAUAUGAAAGAUCUAGGAGAAUCCAAUAUUAUUUUGGGAAUGAAAGUAGAAAGAACACAAGCAGGUUUUAUUAUAAACCAAGCUAGUUCAAUUGAGAAAAUGCUUAAGAAGUUCAAUAUUUUCAAUUGCAGUCCUGUCUCGACACCAUAUGAACCAAGUGUGUGCUUACUUAAAAAUAGUGGUGAACCCGUUUGUCAACUCGAGUAUUCUCAAAUGAUUGGGUCUUUGAUGUAUAUAGCAAAUAAAACUAGACCCGAUAUAACUUAUGCGGUUGGAAGGCUGAGUAGAUACACUCACAAUCCAAGUAAUGAACACUGGAAUGCUUUAAGGCGAAUGUUUAAGUAUCUAUGAGGAACUAUGGAUUAUUCUAUACACUAUAAAGGAUUUCCUUAUGUAGUAGAAGGGUACAGUGAUGCAAAUUGGAUCACUGAUAGCUCUGAAGUGAAAUCUACUUUAGGUUAUGUAUUUUUAUUGGGAGGAGCAGCUAUAUCUUGGGGAUCUAAGAAACAAACAAUAAUUUCUAGAAGUACAAUGGAAUCUGAACUCAUAGCCCUUGAUACUGCAUGUAUAAAGGCUGAAUGGAUUAAGAAUUUUUAACUUGAUAUCUCAUUGGUGAGCAAGCCUAUACCUGCCAUCUCCAUACAUUGUGAUAAUAAAGCCGUGAUAGAUUUAGUGAGGCAGACACAUACAAAUAAGAAAUUAAAUAGACAUAUUAAUGUUAGAUACAAAUCUAUGAGAAGCUUGUUAAAUAAAGAAGUUGUUUCUUUGGACUAUGUGAAGUCGGAAAAGAACAUUGCUGAUCAAUUGGCCAAAGGUCCAUCUAGGAAUGGAGUCCUAGAUUUGUCGAGGGGGAUGAGCUUAAACCCAUAAGGAAGUCACCUAGGGAAGAAACCCAACCUUUGUGAUUGGAGAUCCCAUGAAGAAGGUUCAAUGGGUAGAAACAAUCCAUAUUGCGUGACUUAUAUUCCGGCACUCUAAAAUAGGAGAUUUGAAAUAAAAUCCCCUGCUUAUCCCUAUGACAUUUGUGUUGAUGAUAUGUGAUGUUAAGGAAGGACAUUGUCCUAAAUGAGUUCCAAGGUGGGCAAUCUCCCGUAGAGUACAGGUCACAUGUACUCUUGGAGGACUCACCUAAGUGAGAGUAGUCGUGAGGCCACGACUGUGAGAAUUGGGUUGUUCUCUAAAAACACUCAUGAGAAUCAAGAUUAAGCACAUGGCCAUUAAUAGCGCUAACCCGCACUAAGUUUUUUAUCAAUACUAUGUGUGUCAUAUGUUGUAAUCUGAAUUAGAGGAAUCUAGUUCAAGACUUAGUUCACUAUGAUUCCUUCAAAUGAAAACUAUGAAUACUAAGAGUAGGUUCAAGUCCAAAAGACACCUACACCCAUUGCAUGGUAUACAAAUUGCCCAAACUUCCGUUUCUUCAAUUGUGUCUAUUUUAUUCCUCAUAGAGUUUUGAAUCUUGUGGGGGAUUGUUGGUUAUUUUAAUUAUUUUAAUAAUAUUUUAUUUUAAAGAUUCAAAACUUAUUAUUAUUUUAUUUUAUUUAUUUUUAAUAUUUAAGAGUUGUGUUUUAUUUGAAGAGUCAUAAUCCUUUUCUAAAAGGGUAUGAGAAGUUCUUUAAAUAUGAAACCUCAGACACAAAACAAAAUACGCUAAAACUUUUUUGUCUCCCUCAAUUUUCACAUCUCAAUUUACAUUCCUACUUCAUAAUUCUUGGGCAAUUGAUCACUACUUCGCAAUCCCGUCUGUCGUUGGCGUGCAUAUCGGAUCAGACAUCCUGUGAGGCUUUGGGUUGUAUCUUGGAGUUGUAGGCACCGCCAUAACCUGCACGUAGGGAGGCAUCUACGGCUUUAAGGCAGCGACAUUGCGCCUCUCUUUGGUUCACAGGCCAGAUAUUCUUAUUCCUUUUUUUACUAAUUUAAAUUUCACUAGCCUUUCUGCACGCACUCAUGCGCGUGCAAAAGGCUUUUUUACAUCAUGGGGCGCUACGCGUGGCACUUAGAGUUAUUUUUUCUUUUUACAUUUGUUCACGCAUAAAGAUUUUCUUCUGGUUACAAUGUGCUAAGCACAAUGUACAAUUUUUUAUUUUAAUAUUUGUAUUUGUCAAGAGACAUUCUUUCAUUUUAUUUUUUUUGGGGGGGGGGGUAAAAGUUUGAAUGAACUUUUGCACCUUAGAUUUAACUUAAGAUACAACAAAUCUCUCAACUUGGAAAGAGAAAAUCAUAUAAACAAAAUGAAGCUAAACAUGAUUACACUAUCUAAAUUGUCGUCAAACUGCAUAAAUGAACCGCACAAACACAACCUCAAUAUACAAAGAAAAAGUAACCCUCCAUCGUAAAAAAUAAUAUUACAGUAAAAUUACAAUCUUGAACUCUGAAUUGGUCAACCAACAAAUCACAAUAAAAAUUUUGCCUAAACAGGAGAAGCUUCUUGUUGCUAAGAUGACUUUUUCUUUGGAUGCCCCAUUGUGCUUAACUUUGACAUAGGAACCCAAAACUGUUGAAGGGAGAUUGAAUGUCACGGUAAAAUUAAACUUCACAAUGAAACCGAUUAGAAAACGUAAAACUGAAGUAAACCUUCUUAUGAUUGACAUAUAAAAUAUGAACAUUCACAACCAAAUACACAUAAAAUUACUAUUUACUGAUUGUAUGUUUACUGCAACAAACAGAAGAAUACAUAGAGCAAGUAGAAAAGCCAUAUCUUAGUACGACAUCUUACCAUUCACGUUUGCAUUGGUUGUGUUGUCGAAGAAGAUGGAAACUCUUCUCUUUGCCGGAACAUUCUUCUCAAAAAGUAGUUGGGUGAAAAACUGAUUGCAUCUUAUUUGCAGCCUGCAAAAUUAUUUAAGUAGAUCACAUUAUGAAAUACAAAUGAAAAUGCCUACUAAAGUACCCAUCAAGUCAAAUAUUUUCUGAAAAAAAAAAGUCCCUCUUUUCUCAUUUGUUUUCUUUUUCUGGCCAUGUGCAACUGAAAUGACCCAACUCUCCAUUGCGUGGGAUCAUUAUCUGAUUUAUUAAAAAAAAUCUCAAAAAAUCUGAUUGUAAAUAGUAAACUGAAAUUAUGCGGUGCAAGUCAAAAUCUGUAUUUAGAUGGUCAAUCAAAAUCCAAUACCAAUGAGAGUGGAAUGUAGAUAAGAGCUUACCGGUUUCGCCCCAAAUAUCAAAGUCAAUAUGUCAUCGGGAUUUCCAAUCAAAUCAUAAAUUCCAGAAGGCAAAUCAUACAUUGAGCACAGAAAAACAAAGAAAAGAGUUAGCACAUUUUGCUUUGACAAUAAAAAGAAAAAUUAAAUCUCUCACAAAUGUUGCAAUAAAAUAUGUGAAAAGCUCCAAUAACUAAUCCAAGGCUACAACACCUUGAAAAUGGUGGAACAGAAAUACGGGAGAGAGUAAAAAAAAAGGAGUUAACAUAGCUUGCGUGGUGCAUAAGUUUAUACAAUUUGUUAUUAGUUCAGUUUGAUAAAAAAAAGAAAACUGCUUUUUGCUCAAUGUGGGUGUAGUUUUUCAGUUUUCACGUUCUACUUUUUUAUUAGAAGGAUUCAACACGUCUCUUUUUUAUUUUUUGUUAUAAAACAAAUUUUUACAAAAUCAUCCUGCGUUUUAUUAUUAUAUUUUCGUAUUUUUAUGCAUUUAUAUGGGAUAAUAAUCUCUCUCCUAAAAUGGAGGAGGAGUGGGGUUAGUUGCCUUGGCCUCCAUUUUUAGUGAUAUUUAAUCUCUCCUUAGUCCAGCACGUCUUCCCCUUUUUAUUUUAUUUUUUCCUUUUUAUUUUCUUCUAAGAAAACGAAUUUUAGAUUUAUGUUUUUUUUUACAAAAUUGCCCUUGCUUGUUUUCAUGCAUCAAAUUCAGCCAGUUUUAGUUUUUUUUGUUUUAAGGGCUUUUCAGUCCAUUUAUUUUUGGUGAAGCCUUUAGACACCAAAGUGCUUUUGGCUUUCUAAUUUAAAUUUCAUAAGUCUGAUAGUGAUUAUACAUUUGAUUUGAUAUAUUUGAUCAUAUAAAUAAUUGAUAUAUUUCUGCAAUAUAUUUCACAGCCGGUAUCCAUGAAACCACAUACAACUCUAUCAUGAAGUGUGAUGUUGAUAUUGUUGGAAAUUCAAAUCAAAACAGGUUGUAAAUGGCAGCUGCUAGCUGUUAGUUUCUUUACAGGUUGUAUUCACACUUGCUGCAACUACAAAGACUAAAGUUUCCUCCAUGUGCCAGCUGAAAGUGUGUUGAAAGACAGCAGCUGUGUGCUGCCAUGUGAUGUGCUAGCCGAAACUAUGUUGAUUGCAAGCUGGAAAGAUAGCUGCACAUGUGUGCUAGACUGUCCAAAGUUCAUAUGAUCUGUUUGUGUGUGCUGUUGUGUUUAUUUUAUUAAAAGCACUUGAGUGGUCCUUCAUUUUCUGCUUGUAUAAAUAAGCCUCCCGUAAGGCUUUAGGUAGUGUCUCUGAUUUGUCAUUCCAUUUCAGAAGUGUGUUUGCAAACUAUUUUAAAUAUAUCAAAGUGCAUUGUUUGCCGAAGCUUGUAGCUUCCCUCAUUUCUCUAUUUCUUUGUCCAAUUUUAUUGAGAGUGCAAAGUGAGAGGUGUGAUAAAGUUUGUAAACUUAUCACCCAUAUAUUUUGGUAUUGAGUUAGUAAACUUCUCAAUACCAACAAUUGGUAUCAGAGCCAGAAUACCAUUCUGGCAGGUGCAGCAGUUAUGGCAUCCAACUUAGUGCAGCUUCAAGUUCCCACAUUGAAGAAAGAAAAUUAUGAAAGAUGGUGCAUCCAAUUCAAAGCAUUGUUUGGAUCACAAGAGCUAUGGGAAGUUGUCAGUAGUGGGUAUGUUGUACCCACUACAGAGCAAGAAGCCACAUAUACUGCAAAUCAAAUGACCACUCUCAAGGAUUUACGAAAGAAAGACCAGAAGGCGUUGUAUCUUCUUUAUCAAGGAUUAGAACAUUCAACGUUCAAGAAGGUUGCAGAAGCAACAACGAGCAAGCAAGUAUGGGACACACUCAGUACAAUCUACAAAGGAGUAGAUCGAGUCAAGAAAGUGAGGUUACAGUCACUUCGAGCAGAUUUUGAAACUGCUCACAUGAAUGAAGGGGAGAGCAUCUCCGACUAUCACUCAAGGCUCAUUAUGAUAGUAAAUCAGAUGAGGAGAAAUGGCGAGAGACUCGAUAAAGUACGAGUUGUGGAGAAGAUACUCCGGUCACUCACAUCUAAGUUUGAACAUGUGGUGACUGCCAUUGAGGAAUCCAAGGAUUUGGAGGAGAUGAGCGCAGAUGAGCUACUAGGAUCCCUCCUAGUUCACGAGCAACGCAUUCAGAAGAAUGCAAGCCCCACAACGCUAGAGUAAGCUUUGGAGUCAAAGUUGAAUAUUGACAAACCAAAUAAAGGUCAUGGGCAGUGGAACUCACGUCAUGGGAGUUCAUCCAACCGUAGUCGAGGACGAGCUCGAGGAAGAGGUCGAGGCUAUGAACAAAACCGAGGUCAAUCUCAAGAGUGGAGAUCUACCCGAGGAAAGGCGCAUAUCCAAUGUCACACUUGCAAGCAAUAUGGACAUUAUGCAAAUGAAUGUUCAUAUAAAAAUGGUGAGCAUGUCAACAUGGCAGAAUCAAAUGGAAAUGCUGGUGAGGAACUUACAGUCUUACUAUCACACCAUGAUAUCAGUAGCCAACAAGAUGUUUGGUAUUUAGACUCUGUUGCAAACAACCACAUGUGUGGAAAGAAAGAGUUUUUUGCCGAACUCAAAGAUGGGCCUUAUGGAUCUGUGAGUCUUGGUGACUCCUCAAAGUUGCCAAUUGAAGGCAAAGGAAAGAUCAAAAUCAUCCAAAAGGAUGGUAAAGAAGAAUACAUCUCCGAUACCUACUACAUACCAGGUAUGAAGAGCAACAUUCUGAGCAUUGGUCAACUGCUCCAGAAAGGGUAUGUUAUACAUAUGGAGGAUAUGUUUCUCACUCUCAAGAAUGCAAGGAGAAAGCUUAUUGCACGUGUUCAAAUGUCAAAAAACCGAAUGUUCCCGUUGAAGUUGAACACAAAGAUUGGGAGUUGCAACAUUGGUGUAAUGGAAGAUGAGUCAUGGAAAUGGCAUCUUCGAUAUGGCCAUCUUCAUUUCAAUGGCCUAAAGUUGCUGUCAAGUGGAGGAAUGGUUCGUGGUCUACCCCAAAUUGAAGCCACACGCCAAGUAUGUGAAGGCUGUGUGCUUGGCAAGCAAGCACGACUAUCAUUCCCUGUUGGUGAUACAUGGAGAGCAAAGGCACCACUGCAGAUGGUACACACGGAUAUAUGUGGUCCAUUGGAUCCUAUGUCCUAUGGAGGUAAUAGGUAUUUUAUUACUUUCAUUGAUGAUUUCAGUAGGAAGACUUGGGUUUAUUUUCUCAAUGAGAAGUCGGCUGCCCUAAAAAUCUUCAAGGAGUUCAAGGCACUCACAGAGGCUGACAGCAACCACAAGCUUGUGGCUGUGAGAUCAGAUAGAGGUGGAGAGUACACCUCCAAUGCUUUCCAAGCAUACUGCAAGGAGCAAGGAAUUAGGCAUCAACUGACUGCUGCCUAUACACCACAGCAAAAUGGGAUAACCGAAAGAAAGAAUCGAACCAUCCUUGACAUGACAAGAUCCAUGCUUAAGGAGAAGAAUUUGCCAAAAGAAUUAUGGGCAGAAGCUGUAGCUUGUUCGAUUUAUUUGUUGAAUCGAUGUCCAACAAAGAGUGUUAAGAAGAUGACACCAUAAGAGGCUUGGAGUGGAUAUAAGCCAAAUGUUGCACACCUAAGAGUUUUUGGGUGUGUUGCAUAUGCUCAGGUUCCAGAAGCCAAGAGGAGAAAGCUCGAUGAUCGAGGUGAAAAGUGUGUGUUGUGGGCUAUAGUGAAGAGUCCAAGGCAUACAAGCUCUACAACCCACUAACUGGCAAAUUAGUGGUUAGUAGAGAUGUCAUCUUCAGUGAGGAAGAGGCAUGGAAGAGGAACAACAAAGAAGUCAGUAAAGGGAAGAUCGUCUCCACUGAUUUUGAAGAACCAGAAGUUGUACCACCUGUUGAGCAACAACCUGCUCAAACAAACACAACAACUCCAUUGCACAGAACUGCAAGGAGUGGUCCUACAUCCAGUGAAGAAAGCAGCUCCUCAACUUCAGUGAGGCUAAGAAGUCUUACCGAGAUAUAUGGACAAGAAGAAGAAGAAGAAACCAACAUUUUCUGCUUGUAUGCAGACUACGAGCCUCUCUCAUUCAAUGAAGCUGUGGAAGAAGAUCGUUGGAGAAUAGCCAUGGAGGAAGAAAUCCAUGCUAUCGAGAAGAAUGACACUUGGGAGUUGACAAAGCUCCCACCAAAUCAGAAGGCUAUUGGUGUCAAGUGGGUGUACAAGAUCAAACGCACUGCAGAUGGGAGUGUGGAUCGAUACAAAUCAAGGCUUGUAGCAAAGGGCUACAAACAGAAGUAUGGAGUGGACUAUGAUGAAGUCUAUGCUCCAGUUGCAAGACUUGACACGGUAAGAUUACUAGUCUCUCUUGCCGCUCAACAUAAAUGGAAAAUUUAUCAACUAGAUGUCAAGUCAGCCUUCCUUAAUGGAGUUCUUGAGGAAGAAGUGUACGUGGAACAACCAGAAGGCUUUCAAGUACAAGGAAAAGAAGAUAGGGUGUAUCGUUUGAAGAAGGCUUUGUAUGGCCUCAAGCAAGCACCACGAGCUUGGAACUCAAGGAUUGACAACUACCUUCACCAAAAUGGAAUUCAGAAAUGUCCAUACGAGCAUUCAGUUUACAUGAAGAAUGGUGAAAAAGGGGAGUUCUUAAUUAUUUGUCUCUAUGUAGAUGACUUGGUGUUUACAGGAAACAAUGAAGCAAUGUUCUGUGAGUUCAAGCAAUCCAUGUUCAGUGAAUUCGAGAUGACUGACAAUGGAUUAAUGUCAUACUUUCUUGGCAUAGAGGUGAAGCAAGAAAGUGACGGUAUCUACAUCUCUCAACAAAAGUACAUGAGAGAUAUAUUGGAGAAAUUCAAUAUGGAUAAGUGCAAUAUUGUCAACACUCCAGUUGCAACUGGAUUGAAGCUGUCUACGGAAGGAGAAGGUGAGUUUGUAAACUCAAUCGUGUACAAAAGCUUGGUUGGAAGCCUAAGGUACCUUACAAUCACAAGACCUGAUAUAGUUUAUGGAGUUGGACUCGUGAGUCGGUACAUGGAAACACCAAGGGAGUCUCAUUGGCUGGCUGCCAAGAGAAUCUUGAGGUACAUAAGAGGUACUCUAAACUAUGGUCUGUUUUAUAAUUUUGGGGAAGAUGCAAAAUUAUUUGGUUAUUCAGAUAGUGAUUGGGGAGGUGACCAAGAUGAAAGGAAAAGCACAACUGGCUAUGUGUUUUUUCUAGGAUCAACAGCUUUCUCAUGGACUUCAAACAAGCAAUCAAUUGUUGCUUUGUCAUCAUGUGAAGCCGAGUAUGUUGUUGUAGCCUCAACAGUGUGUGAGGCAAUUUGGUUAAGAAAUCUAUUGAAGUCAGUGUGUCAUCCACAAGUGGAAUCGACUGUGAUUCAUGUGGAUAACAUGUCUGCAAUCAAGCUUGCAAAGAAUCCUGUUCAACAUGGAAUGAGCAAGCACAUUGAUACCAGGUUCCAUUUUCUAAGGGACCAUGUAAAGCAAAAGACAAUCGAACUUGUCUAUUGUCACACGAAGGAACAAGUGGCAGACAUCUUCACUAAGCCACUACCAGUUGAAUCAUUCCAGCUGCUACGUGAAAUGCUAGGAAUGAAGGCGUUUUGAUUUGAGGAGGUGUGUUGGAAAUUCAAAUCAAAACAGGUUGUAAAUGGCAGCUGCUAGCUGUUAGUUUCUUUACAGGUUGUAUUCACACUUGCUGCAACUACAAAGACUAAAGUUUCCUCCAUGUGCCAGCUGAAAGUGUGUUGAAAGACAGCAGCUGUGUGCUGCCAUGUGAUGUGCUAGCCGAAACUAUGUUGAUUGCAAGCUGGAAAGAUAGUUGCACAUGUGUGCUAGACUGUCCAAAGUUCAUAUGAUCUGUUUGUGUGUGCUGUUGUGUUUAUUUUAUUAAAAGCACUUGAGUGGUCCUUCAUUUUCUGCUUGUAUAAAUAAGCCUCCCGUAAGGCUUUAGGUAGUGUCUUUGAUUUGUCAUUCCAUUUCAGAAGUGUGUUCGCAAACUAUUUUAAAUAUAUCAAAGUGCAUUGUUUGCCGAAGCUUGUAGCUUCCCUCCUUUCUCUAUUUCUUUGUCCAAUUUUAUUGAGAGUGCAAAGUGAGAGGUGUGAUAGAGUUUGUAAACUUAUCACCCAUAUAUUUUGGUAUUGAGUUAGUGAACUUCUCAAUACCAACAGAUAUUAGGAAGGAUCUGUAUGGAAAUAUUAUCCUCAGUGGAGGCUCCACUAUGUUCCCUGGAAUUGCUGACAGGAUGAGCGAAGAGAUUACAGCCUUGGCUCCAAGUAGCAUGAAGAUUAAGGUCGUAGCACCACCAGAGACGAAAUACAGUGUCUGGAUCGGAGGCUCCAUUCUAGCAUCCCUCAUCACUUUCCAACAGGUAACGUGUCGUGUAUGUGUGCAUCUUUUCAACCAAAAACAGCUAAAACACCUCUCCUGUUCUUUCUCUUGUUUGUCAAAGUGCUUAUGUGACAAUUCAUUCCGGAGGUAACUUAACGUAUUCAUAGAAUUUCAAACUCAAAGCUAUUUCUAUUUCUGAGUGCAGUUGUGGAUUGCAAAGGCAGGGUACGAUGAGUCUGGCCCCUCAAUUGUUCACAGGAAAUGCUUCUAAUCGCGCAAACAAAGCAAGCGGGGAACAAAGAAUUUACACAUAACCGAUUUUGUAUUACAGAAAGGCUUCUUCUAUUUGAGCGGUUGCGGAAUUUCUUUUUGUAUUCAUUUUCGAAUUUCAUUCAUGUCGAUUUCUCUACGUUGGUUGUGACGGGACAUGAGCAUUAAUGCAGAACGACAAAGAGAUAGAGGAGAUGUGUCAAAAACACACGAGGCUUGACAGAAAAAUGAUAGAAGAGCAAUGCUCAAUUCUUCAUUACCAUAAAAUUAUAAUUCCAAAUUGUCUCCUUUAACAUAUCAAACUCCUUCCCUAAUAUACUAGUGUGACAAAACGUCUUCAUCAAUGCAAAUACAACUCCCUAAGCCACCGAAGCAUAUUAAAUGGCAAUUGUUCCACCUAGCUACUUAAUUUAAAACACGACUUACAAUGGAUCAAAAUUACUACAAAAUAUUAAAUCACAGCCUAAGAUACAUGAAUCUCAAAUUAAUAAUUAACGGAAUGGCCAAAUACAAAAAUACCAAAAACCCCGUUGAAUAAGCUCCUUAUAUAUGCACUGCAUCAAGCAUGGAGGCGAGCAAAUUAUGAUUAAGAUUCAAUUUUUUCAUUCCUAGUGUUUUGUUGUAGAGAAACUAUGUAUUGUUACGGAUAUGGUAUGGUUGAAAUCAAAAUUCCUCUUCACUACUCUUUGUUUUGUACCAUGAUUUGGGAAUACAGGACUUGACAGUGUUAAAUAAAAUUAAUGAAACAUAGUACAAGUUCGUUUAUAAGCAAUCCGAAUAAAAUAAAUUCAACUAUUAGUACAAAAUUCGUUGACAACUUCGACACUCUUAAUUGAACGAUCUGGCAAUUUUUUUUCGCUCUGCAUUAAUUUGAGAUUCAUUUAGAGAAGCGGAAGUAGAUAAAAUUACAAAACCACAAACGGUAAAAUCACAAGACCGGUAAAAGCCGACCCAAAGCAUCACAAUGACAUAUUGACUUCGAUAUUUGGGGCGAAACCGGUAAGCUCUUAUCUACAUUCCACUCUCAUUGGUAUUGGAUUUUGAUUGACCAUCUAAAUACAAAUUUUGACUUGCACCGCAUAAUUUCAAUUUACUAUUUACAAUCAGAUUUUGAGAUUUCUUUUUAAUAAAUCAAAUAAUGAUCCCACGCAAUGGAGAGUUGGGUCAUUUCAGUUGCACAUGGCCAGAAAAAGAAAACAAAUGAGAAAAGAGGGACUGUUUUUUCAGAAAAUAUUUGACUUGAGGGGUACUCUAGUAGGCAUUUUCAUUUGUAUUUCAUAGCUUAACUUAUGUUUUUUAAUGUGAUCUACUUAAAUAAUUUUGCAGGCUGCAAAUAAGAUGCGAUCAGUUUUUCACCCAACUACUUUUUGAGAAGAAUGUUCCGGCAAAGAGAAGAGUUUCCAUCUUCUUCGACAACACAACCAAUGCAAACGUGAAUGGUAAGAUGUCGUACUAAGAUAUGGCUUUUCUACUUGCUCUAUGUAUUCUUCUGUUUGUUGCAGUAAACAUACAAUCAGUAAAUAGUAAUUUUAUGUGUAUUUGGUUGUGAAUGUUCAUAUUUUAUAUGUCAAUCAUAAGAAGGUUUACUUCAUUUUUACGUUUUCUAAUCGGUUUCAUUGUGAAGUUUAAUUUUACCUGACAUCAAUCUCCCUUCAACAGUUUUGGGUUCUUAUGUCAAAGUUAAGCACAAUGGGGCAUCCAAAGAAAAAGUCGUCUUAGCAACAAGAAGCUUCUCCUGUUUAGGAAAUUUUUUUAUUGUGAUUUGUUGGUUGACCAAUUCGGAGUUUAAGAUUUUAAUUUUACUGUAAUAUUAUUUUUUACAAUGGAGGGUUAGUUUUCCUUUGUAUAUUGAGGUUGUGUUUGUGCGGUUCAUUUAUGCAGUUUGACGACAAUUUAGAUAGUGUAAUCAGUUUAGCUUCAUUUCGUUUAUAUGCUUUUCUCUUUUCAAGUUGAGAGAUUUGUUGUACCUUAAGUUAAAUCUAAGGUGCAAAAGUUCAUACAAACUUUUAGCCAAAAAAAAAAAUGAAAGAAUGUCUCUUGACAAAUACAAAUAUUAAAAUUUAAAAAAUUGUACGUCACGCUUAGCACAUUGUAACCAUAAGAAAGUUUUUAUGCGUGAACAAAUGUAAAAAGAAAAAAUAACUCUAAGCGCCGCGCGUAGCGUUCCGUGAUAUAAAAAAACUCAUGCGCGUGCAGAAAUGCUAGUUUAUAUAUAAUUGAUCAUGUAGUUCACAGAAACAUGUAUCUAGAUCAUACUUCAAUGAUCUAGAUUAAUGCAUAAACUAACUUUAUAAUGCCAAAGUAUGUAAGAAAUGCAUGAUCCUCGCCGCCUGCAUAUAUGCAUGCCAAGUCAAUGAACAAUUGAUGGACAAUUCUACACGUACCUCUUACUGUGCGCAAGUGUCAAAUUUCAAGGACACCAAAAGGUUUUUGGGACGCCUCCUUUGUUUGAAUCCGAUCAUUCAAACAAAAAGGCACGAAUCGAACUCCAAUAAUAUCCAUGUCCUUUAUACUGUUAUCUUCAUCAAUAUAAUGAAGUGUCACAAUUAGAUAUCUUCCGUCAAUCAUUGUAUUUAAGAAGGUGACAAUUUUUUCAAUUAUACCACCAUGAAAUAUAUAACGACAGUCAAUCUUCCAACGAUCAUCAUGUACAAUGAUUUGAAGAUCGUCUCCAACUUGUUGGAAUUUUUCUUCACUGCUUUACGUAUACUGCAUAUACAUCUUACAGCCCAUAAUCUUUCGAAUCACAUUUUCUAACAAUUGCAUAUAAAAGAAAUAUUUUCAUAUAUGUAAGUUGAACCAGAGUGUAUAUAGAAAACAACUAAAACUAAUGAAAGUACAAAUUCAUUUACGUUCAAUCCGAAUAAAAUAAAGAAUACAUUUAAACAACUUGGCAACUCUUUUCGGCUUGGAACAUGGAUUCAUUUAAACGGCUGUAGAUAAAAUGCGAAACCCAAGCCACCAACAUAAGAAGCGCGGUAGCAGCCCCACCGACCAUCACAAGAUUAAGAACCGGGAGCGGUCGUGUGAUUUUUGAGCUUGGUGACAUUGCUUUAGCAUUAGUAGGAGAACCUGAUGGUGAGGAUGGAGAAGGAGAGGGACUUGGACUAACUACUGGAUCUUCUAUUUCGAGGGCAUUGAUCUUGAUUUUAAUCUUUUGGCCGGCUUUGCAGUGACCAGGUUCACCACAAAUAACAUAGUAGGUGCCCGGUAUAUCAAAAGUUAAGGCGGUAAAGGUACCGUAAUGAGAUAGGGGAAGUGAUGGAAUACAAUAGUCAUAAUCUGCUUGAGUGACUAUCAUCACAAAAUCAUAUUCAUGUUUGUAAUUAAAUAUGAACUCGUCGCCCACAUAGAAUUUUUUCGAUGAAGCCCACUCGUUGUAAU
rnacentral:lncRNA from 1 species